AAAACCAAACUAAGCGAUUACCAAACGGAAAACCGAUUUUUUUUAGCUGCUGAAUUGAACCGAACCUUUCGGUUUGGCAGGUUCGGUUUGGUUAAUAACCGCAGGCCUACUUGUUAAUGUCUAGCUGAACUAACUUAAUAAGUACUCUGAAUGGGUGUUUUGUCACAGGACGUUAUGCUUCUAAACCAGUCAUUGCUGUUUGAUGGGGCUGGUGGUAUGCAUGAUCGUUAUAGAGACAUGCGACUAGAUGUAGACAACAUGUCAUAUGAGGUAAAAAAAAACCCCAUAAAUCUUUGUCAUUUUUUGCUCGUAAAAGCUUCACUCAUUUGGUUAAUAAACUUUAGGAACUGUUGGCACUAGAAGAGCGUAUUGGAGAUGUUUGCACGGGUGUAAACGAAGAAACCAUAUCAAACCGGUUGAAGCAGCGUAAAUUCAAAAGCAGCACAAAAUCUCCACAAGAUGCAGAGCCAUGCUGUAUUUGUCAGGUACAAAUAUAUACUUGUUGCUGCAAUGGUGAUACCAAGAAAUAUUACAUUUUUUUCCGGUUAUGAAUGGUGAAACAUGGUGUGCAGGAGGAAUACAUUGAAGGAGAAGACAUGGGGGCGUUAGAAUGUGGGCAUGAUUUCCAUAGCCAAUGCAUAAAAGAAUGGCUGAAACAGAAGAAUAUUUGCCCAAUUUGCAAGACGACAGGCUUGAACACUGCCAAGAAGCGAAAAAUAGGAUGAAUGAGAGAGUAUUCAGAAGAGAAUGAAAAUCCUUUUUUUCUGUAUUUGGUCGGAUAAUUUAUUUUACUCAUUUGUCAAUGGAUUAUUAUGAAUCCAUUGAAAGAAGCAGGAAGUUGAGUCGGUUGAUGUUGAGAUGUUACUUAUGAAAGGAUUGUUAAUAAACAACCCAUACUUUGUCUUUUGAAGGUGGCUCUCUCUUUUUUUAACUCGAGCUUGAAAAUGCAUAGUCUUAGAUCUUUUGAUUCCAGAGACAAACCUGCUUUGCCUAGCCUUUAAGAGACCUUCAACAUUUAAAACACCAAAGAAAUUGUCGAAUAAUAUGUCAUCCGUGAAUCUCCUUUGAUGUGGUGAGUACGUGCGAUGCGGAAAGACUUUACGCUAUUGUAUGCCGAAAGACAUUUUCGAGUUUUGAGCACAAAAAAUAGACCGAGUAAAAUAACCAAAAUGUUUCAUUUAAUAGUUAAAAGGAUCUUAAUAUCCUAAAUAUAUAUAAAAUAUAUAUAUAUAUAUAUAUAUUUUAUAAUUUUAGAUUAUAUGUUUCAAAUUUGAACUUCUUUAUAAAAAAAAAAUUUUAAUUUUUUUUUUAAGUUUUUGUUUUUUUCAGUUUUUCUUUUUGUAAUUCAAAAAUACUUUUUAAAACUAUUUUUAACAUUUUUAUUUUAAAAUUUUUAAUAUUUAUUUUUUAUUUUAUAAAACUUUAAAUCUCAAUCUCAAAUCCCCACCCCUUAACUCUAAACCCUAAAGUUUGGAUUAGCUAACCAUAUGAGUAUAAGUGUAUAUUUACCUCUUUAAGAAAUAUUUUGGUCAUUUUGAUCCUAAGAAUCUAUAUUUAUGACAUAAAUUUUUUUAAUGUUAUCCUAUGGUAUUUCUCUUAAAUUAAUGAUGCCGUUAAUGAUGUUAAUUUUUUUUACAACAAGAGGAACAUCUAACUUAAUAACCUUUUGAUGUCAAAAAAACUUCUUUUUUUCUUAAGCUAUUGCUAAUUCAGAAGUUCCGGAUCUAUGGGGAUCAUGUGUGAUGGCUGGACUCGUACAUUCAUUGCCGGCUUGUCUGUCAUUGUACAUGUUUUUGUCACGGGAAUAUAAGAGAUUAUAAAAACGUCGAAAGAUUUCCAUAUGAAUUGAAAAAAUAAGCCAUUUUUUUGGUGUAAACACUAUCUUUAUUAACUAUAUGCAUAAUCUGUUCAAAUGCUAGUUUUGAUUGUUAGAAAAUGAUCAUGUCCAGAUCAGUGUUUUAAAUUCCGCAUGUAAUAGGGACAUGUCCGGCUCUGCAGAGAAGGUGAGGAAGUAUGGGCUUCCGGCCCACAAUAAUAUAAAUAAAAUUCAUUCAACUAUUUUAAAGUCUCUUUAGUAUAGUGGUGUAAAUCAUCUAACUAUAACCUAAAAAAUAUGAAUUCCUCUUUCUAAUGUUCCUAGCACCUAAUAACCCUUCAAAACCUCCAUGCUUACUAUACCACCUUUGCCCCUAAACAUAUAUGUCUCUUUUCAAAAUCCAUCGAUUUUACACCAUCGAAAAAAAUUUAUACUUGGAUGUACGAUAUGGGAAGAUAAAGAUAAGUUUACCCAUUGGACCAUAUUUAAUACCACUUUCGAGUGUGCUUCAGACAAAUGAAACAAUUCUGAAUCAGCUACUUUAAUGUCUUAGGAUCCUGUCAAUGUUACUACAUAAUUUAUCAUUCCAAUUUUUCUAGAUAAACCAGAAAAUUCAUGAGAAUUUAUUUUGAUCAUCAACAUAAAUUAUUCUUCAAAACAAAUAAUUCAUAUUUGUGAAGAUUGAUUAUGUUGGAAAAACUGUAGGAUUCAAUGGAAUAUUGUUGGAUAAUGCCCAUUACUGCUUAGAUGGAGGACAAUUAGACAAUACAUGAUUAAUUGUCUCGUCCUCCAGCCAUAUCUCACACAGUGUGUCUUGCAAUUUAUCCCUCUCCCCAUAAAGAUUUUGCUUCAUGAAGACAACUUGAAAGAGCUUACCAAAUAAAGUGUCUCAAUUUUGGUGAGUAUUUUAGUUAUUAUUUUUUAUUUUAUUUUUUUGCUACAAAUGUAAAUAUCAAAUUGAAGGAAAAGUUUGAUUACUCUUUAAGUAAAUCGAUAAAACUGCAUCACCUAGGUAAACAAGUUUAAAAACAAGGUGAGACAAGAUAGGCAAAAGAUAAAUGUUUAAAUAACAUAAAAAUUUGUUUUUUUGUCAUCAACUAGAACAUACUCAAACUGACUCUGUAAACCAAAUUGGUAACUUCGCAUCCAUGUGAACGACGACUCUGUAAACCAAACUGGUAACUUCGCAUCCAUGUGAACGACGAAAGACUAUUGCUUCCUGGCACUACGUGCUAGACUAUCUUGACACAAGUUCCUCAUACACUCCAUUGCCCAAACUAAAGCCUCGAUCUCUGAAUAAAGAGGAGAUAAACUAGCCCUUACAUUUCUUGCCCCCAUCAAACCAUCAAAACUUUCUAAUGAGCUAUACCAUCUUUGACCUGAAAAAAACCUCAUUUUCUCUCCAAGAGCCAUCUGAAAAGCACCAUCACCCUAGGAUUGGUGACAUAGUCAUAGCCUCUACAGGUCGUGUCCCCCUCUGUAUGUUCAACACUUGUGCUUCAGUCCAAAAUAUUGAUUUUGUUUCUGCCAAUUUUAACGUAUUCCGAGGAUUAAUGUCUAGAUUGCUGAAAGCUUUGUUGUUCUUUCCUUUACAAUUAUACCAUAGAAUCCAUGCAAACUGAUCAUCAUCCAUUUGUUGAUAUACUCUCCAGAAUAAGUGAUCUAUAUUUGUAAAUAAAGCAGCAGUAGGGAAGAUAGUUGGAUUAGAUGGUAUUUUUGAAAGGGCCUAAAUUUGAUGCGUUGGAAUACACUCAAAAAAUACAUGGUUUAUUGAUUCUUCUGGAACUCCACAUAUGGCACAACAUAUAUCCCCUUAGAAACCUCUCGUUCCAGAUUUUUCUUGACUGCUACACAUCCUGACACCAAUUGCCACAAGAAAUGUUUUAUUUUAGGUGGACACCGUAUUUUCUAGUAAAACGCUUUUAAUGAAUCAACUGUGGGUCCAACCAUAAAAAAUGUUAUUUUAGGACAAAUUCAACAUUCAAGAUUAAAGCCAUCAUUAUAUUUUUUUUCUCUCGAUGUUCUUGGCCUAAAAAGAUAUUGUUUAUAAGAAGAAAUUGAGUACCCUGAAAAAGUUUUUUUUGUUUUAUUUUAAAUAGACCUAGGCCAAAAGUUUGUCUAAUUUAUUAAUUUAGGGUUCUAUUUUUAUUUAUCAUUAACAAGUCAUAGUAUGACCAUUUAAAGAAUUAGUUAAUAUGACAUAUUUGAUUAUUUACAUUAAUAAUAAAUGAACUAUAAAUUUGAAUUUUAUUUUUUAAAUUAUAGCAAAAUCGAUUGAGAAGGAAUCUACAACAUCUUACUUAAAAUUUUAAAUAUUUAUAAAAUAACAUAUUAAUUAAUUUUUUAAUUAGUUAUAUAAUAUUUCUAUAAAUCAAUAUUAACUAAAAUUUUAUUAUAAAGCAAGAAAAUAAAAAUUAUAUACUCAUUUAUAAAUUUUAUAAUUAUAUUCUGUAUUAUAUAAAAAUGGAAGUGCUAUAUGAAUUAAAUAUGACAGAAUUAUAUUAAAUAGAUAAAUUAGGGGAAUUUUUUUAAAAUUGUUUCAUUCAAAUAAAUUAUCAAUCAUCAUUAAAAUGGCUUAAAAUUCAUAAAAUAUAUAAUAUUUUAUACAAAAAUAAACUUAUUAACAGAAACUUUGCAUGAUAUCGACAACUAUAUAUUAUCUUUUUAUUUAUUUUGAAAUUAUCAACAAUAUAUUGUUUAAAAUGUUUAUAUACAAAAAUAUAAUAGUAUAAAAUAACAUUUAGUUCAUAUACCAUUAAAAAAUGUAUGAUUAUAAAACUAUGAAAUUUUAGUAAUUCAUUUAAAAUAUUAAUGACAAAUCAAAUUUUAAUGUACGUGCGAUGCGGAAAGACUUUACGCUAUUGUAUGCCGAAAGACAUUUUCGAGUUUUGAGCACAAAAAAUAGACCGAGUAAAAUAACCAAAAUGUUUCAUUUAAUAGUUAAAAGGAUCUUAAUAUCCUAAAUAUAUAUAAAAUAUAUAUAUAUAUAUAUAUAUUUUAUAAUUUUAGAUUAUAUGUUUCAAAUUUGAACUUCUUUAUAAAAAAAAAAUUUUAAUUUUUUUUUUAAGUUUUUGUUUUUUUCAGUUUUUCUUUUUGUAAUUCAAAAAUACUUUUUAAAACUAUUUUUAACAUUUUUAUUUUAAAAUUUUUAAUAUUUAUUUUUUAUUUUAUAAAACUUUAAAUCUCAAUCUCAAAUCCCCACCCCUUAACUCUAAACCCUAAAGUUUGGAUUAGCUAACCAUAUGAGUAUAAGUGUAUAUUUACCUCUUUAAGAAAUAUUUUGGUCAUUUUGAUCCUAAGAAUCUAUAUUUAUGACAUAAAUUUUUUUAAUGUUAUCCUAUGGUAUUUCUCUUAAAUUAAUGAUGCCGUUAAUGAUGUUAAUUUUUUUUACAACAAGAGGAACAUCUAACUUAAUAACCUUUUGAUGUCAAAAAAACUUCUUUUUUUCUUAAGCUAUUGCUAAUUCAGAAGUUCCGGAUCUAUGGGGAUCAUGUGUGAUGGCUGGACUCGUACAUUCAUUGCCGGCUUGUCUGUCAUUGUACAUGUUUUUGUCACGGGAAUAUAAGAGAUUAUAAAAACGUCGAAAGAUUUCCAUAUGAAUUGAAAAAAUAAGCCAUUUUUUUGGUGUAAACACUAUCUUUAUUAACUAUAUGCAUAAUCUGUUCAAAUGCUAGUUUUGAUUGUUAGAAAAUGAUCAUGUCCAGAUCAGUGUUUUAAAUUCCGCAUGUAAUAGGGACAUGUCCGGCUCUGCAGAGAAGGUGAGGAAGUAUGGGCUUCCGGCCCACAAUAAUAUAAAUAAAAUUCAUUCAACUAUUUUAAAGUCUCUUUAGUAUAGUGGUGUAAAUCAUCUAACUAUAACCUAAAAAAUAUGAAUUCCUCUUUCUAAUGUUCCUAGCACCUAAUAACCCUUCAAAACCUCCAUGCUUACUAUACCACCUUUGCCCCUAAACAUAUAUGUCUCUUUUCAAAAUCCAUCGAUUUUACACCAUCGAAAAAAAUUUAUACUUGGAUGUACGAUAUGGGAAGAUAAAGAUAAGUUUACCCAUUGGACCAUAUUUAAUACCACUUUCGAGUGUGCUUCAGACAAAUGAAACAAUUCUGAAUCAGCUACUUUAAUGUCUUAGGAUCCUGUCAAUGUUACUACAUAAUUUAUCAUUCCAAUUUUUCUAGAUAAACCAGAAAAUUCAUGAGAAUUUAUUUUGAUCAUCAACAUAAAUUAUUCUUCAAAACAAAUAAUUCAUAUUUGUGAAGAUUGAUUAUGUUGGAAAAACUGUAGGAUUCAAUGGAAUAUUGUUGGAUAAUGCCCAUUACUGCUUAGAUGGAGGACAAUUAGACAAUACAUGAUUAAUUGUCUCGUCCUCCAGCCAUAUCUCACACAGUGUGUCUUGCAAUUUAUCCCUCUCCCCAUAAAGAUUUUGCUUCAUGAAGACAACUUGAAAGAGCUUACCAAAUAAAGUGUCUCAAUUUUGGUGAGUAUUUUAGUUAUUAUUUUUUAUUUUAUUUUUUUGCUACAAAUGUAAAUAUCAAAUUGAAGGAAAAGUUUGAUUACUCUUUAAGUAAAUCGAUAAAACUGCAUCACCUAGGUAAACAAGUUUAAAAACAAGGUGAGACAAGAUAGGCAAAAGAUAAAUGUUUAAAUAACAUAAAAAUUUGUUUUUUUGUCAUCAACUAGAACAUACUCAAACUGACUCUGUAAACCAAAUUGGUAACUUCGCAUCCAUGUGAACGACGACUCUGUAAACCAAACUGGUAACUUCGCAUCCAUGUGAACGACGAAAGACUAUUGCUUCCUGGCACUACGUGCUAGACUAUCUUGACACAAGUUCCUCAUACACUCCAUUGCCCAAACUAAAGCCUCGAUCUCUGAAUAAAGAGGAGAUAAACUAGCCCUUACAUUUCUUGCCCCCAUCAAACCAUCAAAACUUUCUAAUGAGCUAUACCAUCUUUGACCUGAAAAAAACCUCAUUUUCUCUCCAAGAGCCAUCUGAAAAGCACCAUCACCCUAGGAUUGGUGACAUAGUCAUAGCCUCUACAGGUCGUGUCCCCCUCUGUAUGUUCAACACUUGUGCUUCAGUCCAAAAUAUUGAUUUUGUUUCUGCCAAUUUUAACGUAUUCCGAGGAUUAAUGUCUAGAUUGCUGAAAGCUUUGUUGUUCUUUCCUUUACAAUUAUACCAUAGAAUCCAUGCAAACUGAUCAUCAUCCAUUUGUUGAUAUACUCUCCAGAAUAAGUGAUCUAUAUUUGUAAAUAAAGCAGCAGUAGGGAAGAUAGUUGGAUUAGAUGGUAUUUUUGAAAGGGCCUAAAUUUGAUGCGUUGGAAUACACUCAAAAAAUACAUGGUUUAUUGAUUCUUCUGGAACUCCACAUAUGGCACAACAUAUAUCCCCUUAGAAACCUCUCGUUCCAGAUUUUUCUUGACUGCUACACAUCCUGACACCAAUUGCCACAAGAAAUGUUUUAUUUUAGGUGGACACCGUAUUUUCUAGUAAAACGCUUUUAAUGAAUCAACUGUGGGUCCAACCAUAAAAAAUGUUAUUUUAGGACAAAUUCAACAUUCAAGAUUAAAGCCAUCAUUAUAUUUUUUUUCUCUCGAUGUUCUUGGCCUAAAAAGAUAUUGUUUAUAAGAAGAAAUUGAGUACCCUGAAAAAGUUUUUUUUGUUUUAUUUUAAAUAGACCUAGGCCAAAAGUUUGUCUAAUUUAUUAAUUUAGGGUUCUAUUUUUAUUUAUCAUUAACAAGUCAUAGUAUGACCAUUUAAAGAAUUAGUUAAUAUGACAUAUUUGAUUAUUUACAUUAAUAAUAAAUGAACUAUAAAUUUGAAUUUUAUUUUUUAAAUUAUAGCAAAAUCGAUUGAGAAGGAAUCUACAACAUCUUACUUAAAAUUUUAAAUAUUUAUAAAAUAACAUAUUAAUUAAUUUUUUAAUUAGUUAUAUAAUAUUUCUAUAAAUCAAUAUUAACUAAAAUUUUAUUAUAAAGCAAGAAAAUAAAAAUUAUAUACUCAUUUAUAAAUUUUAUAAUUAUAUUCUGUAUUAUAUAAAAAUGGAAGUGCUAUAUGAAUUAAAUAUGACAGAAUUAUAUUAAAUAGAUAAAUUAGGGGAAUUUUUUUAAAAUUGUUUCAUUCAAAUAAAUUAUCAAUCAUCAUUAAAAUGGCUUAAAAUUCAUAAAAUAUAUAAUAUUUUAUACAAAAAUAAACUUAUUAACAGAAACUUUGCAUGAUAUCGACAACUAUAUAUUAUCUUUUUAUUUAUUUUGAAAUUAUCAACAAUAUAUUGUUUAAAAUGUUUAUAUACAAAAAUAUAAUAGUAUAAAAUAACAUUUAGUUCAUAUACCAUUAAAAAAUGUAUGAUUAUAAAACUAUGAAAUUUUAGUAAUUCAUUUAAAAUAUUAAUGACAAAUCAAAUUUUAAUUAUAAUUUUUUUAGUUAUAACAAAAUCUGUUGAGAACAUUUUAGAAAAUAUUACCAAAAAUUCAGAUAUUUUUUUUAUAAAUAAUUUAUUAAUGUAUAACAAAAACAAAUUCAAAAUUCAUGUAAUCUUCCAAACUCAAAAAUAGUAGUGUAAUUUUUUUUAAGUUUUUUUGACAAAAUAUAAAAUUUUGAAAAUAAAAUCAUAGAUAAUAAAGAAUAACCUUUUGAAAUGCACCAUGAAAAAACAAACUAUAUAUGUUGUAAAAAUUAAAGCAAUAUAAUAUUUUGAAGUCUUAAUUUAAAAAAGAAACUUAAUAUCAUAAUAUCCAAAAACAUAUUCUAAAAUAAAAUUUACUAAAAUAAUAUGAUAGAUGCUACAAUGUAUAAAAUUUACUAAAAUGGUAGGGGUGUAUUAUUUAAACAAAACAAUGUUUUUACUUGUAAUUCCUGUAAAAUACUAAAAUAAUAUAUGUUAAAGUAUAAUAUAGAUCCACCGUAAUGGAUCUUGACUUUGAUUUAUAGUUGGUUGAUCAUUACAUAUAUUAACAAAACAAAACGAACAAAUGAACAAACAUCAAACCAUAGUGAGAUUUUUCAUCUUCCAAGCAGAAUUUGAUCUGGUUUAUGUUUUCCUUUUUUUAGCACGAGGUCAAACUUUCUAAUAUGGUCGUAAAGGGAGUUCAGUAAUUUGCUUUUAUAUAAAGAUCAUAUUUUCACCGAAAAUCCAGUCGAAAUUGAUGAUUUUCACUAUUAAUCAUUAACGCAAUCUAAUAUUUUAAUGCAUAUGGGAUUCGUCAAAUCAAAUAUGUCUCCCGCGUAACGCUAGGUUUAUGAACAACGCAUGUGUCAAUAAUCUUGGCUUGUGGACGGAGACCAACCUCCAUGAUAUCAUCGCAAUAUCGAAAUUUAAAUAAUAAAACAAAGCAAAAGCAAUAAACUCGUGGCAAAUAUUAAAAUAUAUUAUCCUAACAUUGCAUAAGUACACAAAGCUAGCAUGACUUAAACUUGCAGACCAACUCUUCCAGCUAAAAGAAUUUUGACAAUCAAACCACAAACAAAGAAAACAAAAAUGUGUACCACUGAAAACUAUUUUGUUUUGGAUCCGCGAGGAGCCACCUUCUCGGAUCUAAUACGUCUUCUCUUCUCCUCAGAUCUCAGGAAUAGAAGGUUCAUACACUCUUCUGAAGAUAGGCUUGAAGAUAAUGAUCCUUGCAAGUUCCGGAGAAGAUGGAUCAUCUUUGUAUCCAUCGUGAUUCAAAAACUCAUGAUUCUCCUAAGGAAACCUCUCUACUUUUUCGGAUUCUCUCUUGGUUUUUGGUUCAACCUUCUUUAUAUCAAUGGUGGCUUCUUCAUGAUUCUCCCAAAUCUUUUCAAAGGUAUGGUUUUCUUUUGACUUUCUUGUAUUUAAUCAAUUAAUAUAAGUUCGUAAAUACAUCAAAAUCAAAUACAAUGGGAAACACGUAUAUUAUUUAAAUCCUAUAAAAUAUUCUUUUGUUUUUGUAAUAAUUUUUUUUUUUUUUUUUUUUUUUUUUUUUUUUUUUUUUUUAAGAAACAUCGUCGACAUUUGCAUCUCUAAACGGAAACCUAGACGGGCGAGUAGAGUUAGACGGGAGAAUAGAGAGAGGAAGUAAAAGAUACAAAGCAAUGUUGUCAAUCAUGGCUUCUAAGCUUUCUUACGAGAACAUUAACUUUGUCAGCUCUGUCCUUCACAACCAUUGGAAGGUUUUAUUAAUUAACUCUUUCAUUUCUAUUAACAAUCUUAUUUAUUAGUAUAAAUUAAGAACAUAUAACAGAUACUAUUUUUUGGUUUAGUCAAGAACAGUAUCAAAUGAAUAUAAUUUAAACGUACAUGCAUCAAAUUAGUAAAAUAAUUAGUUGGACUUGGAGUAUUAAAUUAGAUAAAAUAUUUUUUGGUAUUGAGAAACUUAUUAAAAUCUAGUUGGUGUAUUUUAUAGGUUUUGCCAAAAGUAAUUUUAUAAUUUUUUCUUCUAACAAUAUAAUUUCAAAGUAAUUUCCUUAUAGUCUAGUUUUUUCCUUGUUGAGUAAGUAAAAUGUUCAUAUAAAAAUACGGAAACUGACGUAGCUAGACUGUCAUUUAGCUCUAUCUUUAUUUCGUCGAAUUAUUAAAACGUAUCUUUAAGUUAUAAGCAUGAUCAUGCAUGAUUUUCUUUGAUUAAAAUAACAACAAAAUCAAAUCCUAUUGAUUAUGUGUUGGACUUAUAAUCACAAUUUUUAUUAUAUUCCUGAUACAGAUGGACCUGUUGGGGUUCUACAGCUGUUGGAAUGGUGAGAAUGCUGUCCUUUUUUUAUUAAUGAAUAAUGAUAAUACAUAUAAUUAAGUAAAUUAACUGCGUUGGUCCAAAAAGGCAAUACCAUGUGAAAUAUGCGGAUUUUCUUGUAUUGUUUCUUACCAAAAUGAACUUGAUUCCAAUAAUAAUUGGCGACAUCACACGCGAAGUCUCUAGUAAUUUAAUCUUUUAAACCAAUUUAAUCUUUUAAACUAGUUUCAUCCAAUUCCAAAUGACUUCAAAGAAAAUAUUUAAUUCAUUGCUAUACAUGUCUUUAAUCACAGUCUCUCUCAAUUCUAUAGGAUCAUAUAUACCUUAACAUCCCCAUAAAUUAUAGGAUCUUGAAUUCAUUUGUACUUGUAUCGAAUAUAAAGAAGUUUGCUGACAAAUAUUUACAUGAUUUUUGUAGUAACACAUUCUUCAUUGGGUUUUCUCAGGUUACCAGGAACAGAGGUCAACGGAGGUGCUUGUCAUAAAGGACGCAAGCACAGAUCCAAACCUCAUCGUUGUCAGUUUCAGAGGGACUGAUCCUUUCGACGCGUACGAUUGGUGUACCGAUUUGGAUCUCUCAUGGUGAUUUAUUUUUUGUUUUGUUUUAAUUUGAUUAAAGUCUUCAUUGAUUAGUUUUCUUUAGGUUGGAUAUUAAUUAAUCGGGUUAUGCUAACCGCUCUCUAAGUAUAGGUACGAAAUUAAGAAUGUGGGAAAGAUCCAUGGAGGAUUCAUGAAAGCUUUAGGACUUCAAAAAGAAGGAGGAUGGCCUAAAGAAGUGAACGUUGAUCAAACCCAAAAAGAAACAACUCAAUAUGCAUACUAUACUAUUAAGAGUCACUUAAUAGAGAUUCUCAAUCAAAAUCCGAAAUCCAAAUUUAUUCUGACCGGACAUAGCCUAGGUGGAGCCCUAGCAGUCCUGUUUACGGGAGUGUUGAUGAUGCAUGAGGAAGAGCAAAUGCUAGACAAGCUCGAAGGAGUUUACACAUUUGGCCAGCCACGUGUAGGAGACGAGGAGUUUGGAAAGUUCAUGAAAGAUUCGCUGAAGAAGUAUGAGGUCAAUUACGAAAGAUACGUUUAUUGCAACGACAUGGUUCCUCGGUUACCUUUUGACGACAAGACACUUAUGUUCAAACACUUUGGGGCAUGCCGUUACUAUGACAGUUUCUAUAGAGGAAAGGUAAGUUAUAACUUAUAAACCAUCUAAUGUUCUUUUAUUUUCUUAAAUUUAGUCACUCAUAUGAUAUGAGAUGGAUACAGUUUUUGUUGUGUCUUGUUUCGCACAUGUUCGUAAAGUUCUUUCUCAGAUGAGAAUGUACUUUUGGUCGGGACAUGACUUGAUAUCUCGGAAAUAGGAGUGGACGGACUACGGAGAACUAGAUGAUUUAUAUUUUAUAAUUUUAUUUAAUAUAUCCUUUCUGUUUUGUUUCGCAUGGAUUUUCAUUUAGUUGUUUCCCCUACUGAUCUGUCUUCAUUGCUAUUGUGUAAUAAUGUGUUCAGAUAGAAGAAGAGGAGCCUAACAAAAACUACUUCAAUAUCUUAUGGGCCAUACCGAAGAUUAUGAAUUCAGUUUGGGAGAUGAUUAGGAGUUUCAUCAUACCUUAUUGGAAAGGUGAAGAAUACAGAGAAGGAUGGUUCUUGAAGUGUUAUAGGGUUCUCGGAUUGUUAAUUCCGGGAAUACCUGCUCACGCUCCUAAUGAAUACGUCAAUGUCACACUUUUGGGAAACUUAUUUGACUCGCACCAUGACUAGAAUUUGGUGUGCAUCGUUUCCAAAUUCUUUGUAUAAUUUACUUUCGUUCAACUUUGAAUAAAUAUAUGAAGAUAAUGAAGGAGUAAUAAAACGGAUAUAAACGUAUAUAUAGGCUGGAGAAUGUCUACAGAAGGUACAACAUUCACAAAUGAAAACUCAAAGAUAAUAUUCUUCACUUGACUUAAAAAGUUGGAUAGUUUCAUUUUAUGAUUUUUCUUUUAAGAUGACUUUAGCUUAAUCUUGAUUUUACCCUAUCCAAUAUGAUAAAUUUCUCAACUAAUUUUUAGUUUUUAUUUACAAAGAUUGUGUGAGAAUUUUUUUAAUCAUAACACAAAAAGCUUAAUACACAUAACUCGUGUAACAUUUAUUUAUUUAUUAUUUUAAUUGUUAAAUUUACCAAGUUUUUUUUGUGCCGACCCGGAUUAUGUAUUUUAAUUGGUUAUUUUCCAAAAUUUACUACUAUUUGAAAUUGUUUUGUUCUAAUUUGUAUUUUACUUACUACUAUUUUAUAAAGUUUAGAUAGAUAGAGAUUUAUUCUGUAUCAAUAACUUUGAGAUACUAGAGUGGACUUGCAUCGUGCGACUUUUAUACUGGGCUGGUGAAAUUAGCUUUUGUUCAUCACUUAUUUUGUCUACUUUACCAUCAAGAAACAUGUUUUGUAUUUGUAUCAGACAUGCGCAAUCCUAAAUCUCUUACAAUAAGUCUUGUUCCAUAGAACAAACCAUCCUUUUUAUUGAUGCUCUUAAUAAGAUCGGCAUUCNNNNNNNNNNNNNNNNNNNNNNNNNNNNNNNNNNNNNNNNNNNNNNNNNNNNNNNNNNNNNNNNNNNNNNNNNNNNNNNNNNNNNNNNNNNAAAAAAAAAAAAAAAAAAAGAUUGCUUGUCUUAAUUCUUAAAAAACGCGGAGAGUCUGAGCUUUACAAAAAAUUAGUUGUUUUCUUGCACUAUGUGUAGUGAUAAAUUUUUAAAAGUUAAAUUAUAUUUAAAAUAAAAUUUAUUAAUAUUAAAUAUUUUAUUAUUUUUUACUAAUAUUUAAUAUAAAGUUGAUUAUUUAACUAUAAAAUUAAGAAAAAAAUAUUCUUUUUUAAAUUUAAUAAUAUAUAUGCAAUAUAUUUAAAAUUUGAAUCUUAGAUAAACUUUUUAUCUAUUUAUUUUGGUUAAAUGUAUUAAAUCAACUUGUAUAAAAUUUACUAAAAAAUCAUAUAAAAAUUGUAUAGUUAUUAAAAAUUAUAACUAAAUAAUAUUUAUAAAAUUUGUAGAUAUCUAAAAGAAACUAAUGAAAUUACGAUUAACAAUUAUUAAUAUUUUUAAAAAGAUGUAGAAGAUUUUGAAAAUAUUAGUAAUAAAAAUUGUAUAAUUAUAAAAAUACAAUUAAAUAAUGUAUUUCGAAAUUUAUAAUGCAUAUUUCAAUAUAUUUAUUUUAGUGAUGAUUUAUGAAUUAUUACCAUAUUUUAAGAAGUUUACCAAAAAUAUAAAUCAACAUUAAAUGUAAUAUAUUAGUUAUUGUCAUAUUCUAUAAAGUUUACCAAAAAUAUAUGUCAGUAAUAAAUGUGAUUGUUCAUGUCAUAUUAACUAAAAGCCAUGUCAUCAAUCUUGUCAGCUAUGUUAUUAUUGUUUUUGUAAAAAUGAUUGUAAAGAGAAUAUGUGGCAAAAUCGAUUCGCAAAUAUAGUCUAGGAGAUUGUGGAGAAAAUAUCUUUGAUAUCUAAGAAAAAGAUCUAAAGAGGUUUGAUUCCGCCAAAUUGACCGGUGAUGACGUGGCAGCAUAACCACGUGUAAAAGCGUACUGUUCUUUUGUCGACUUUUUUCAUAUGAGAUAUUUUUCCUCCUCUCUCACAACAAGAUAGAUAGCCAAUGGCUGGUGAUUACAGAGGGAACUAUAUCCGUAGCUCUGACCAUGCUUCUUCUGUAGAGGAAGACACGCCUUCUUCUAUGGUAUAUAUUUCAAAUAUUACUGAUUCCUUUUCGCCUUUUAAAGAUCUGAUUACACAGUAGUUUGUAUAUAUAAUUGAUGUUUCCACAUGUUUCAGUAUUCCUCGGGAAAAGAGUGUAUGCCUACAGAAUGGACCGAUGAGAAGCAUAGCUUGUAUCUUAAAUCAAUGGAAGCUUCAUUCAUAGACCAGCUUUACAGCUCCCUCGGUUCAAAUUUGAGUAAGGAGAACGUAGGAGGAAACCCAUCUGAUGAACAGGUGUGAAUGAGACGUUUACCUCUGUUUUUUGUUUCUUCCAUAUAGCUUGUGUGAUUGGAUCAUCGAAAUUUAGUCUUUGUAUGUAUUGUUUUUGCUAUUUGUUCAAGGUUCUUCGUGAUGGUGGUUUCUGGCAGAAGUUGAAUGUAAGACAACCUGAGUAUCGUCUCAAAGGAAGACACGGUGGUGGUUCUCCUCAUGAGUUUCUUAGGAGUCCAUGGAUAAAGCACUAUAAGUCUUUACCAAAGACUCAAGUGGUUAGCUCGAAGGGUUUAGUCAUAUGCAGCUCUGGUUCAGCGUCUGAUCUCAAGAACAUGCUACGAGAAGGCUGCUCUCAUUUACAUGACCGGGAUCAAAUCAGCAUAGGAGAAGAAGAAGGUAUUAGUUUUUUCUAUCGCUCUCUUCAAAUAUAUAGUGUUAUUGUAGAUUUGUAUAAUCAUUUGUUUCCUAUUUGGCUAAUUUUUUCCUACAGAAGAGGCAUCUGACCAGAACUUUGUCAACGAAGUAACAAAAGGGGAAAAUGGAAGCUCCAAGAAGAUGAAGACAGUGAUGAGCGGAUCAUCGAGUACUGAUCAGGUGAACUUUCACCAAUUAGUUUGAUCAUAGCUGUAAAUGUGAUCAAGUUAUUGAUCUAAUGUUAUCGUCUUGUUCCUUGGCAUGUAUAUAGGUUGUUCCACUCAGAAAAACUCGUGCAGACAUGACGUAAACUGAAGUCUAUUUAUGAAAAGGUCGUUACAACUGGGUAUGUGAGGAGUGUUUUGUAAUGUAUAGACUAUAGAGUAAAAAAAGUCAACCCCCCAUGGUUAGUUGCAUGUGUCUUCAUCAUAUAUCCCCCUAACUAUAAACAUAUUGUAUGCUCGUGUGAGUGGCCUUCAUAUGUAAUAUAAACCUUAAAUUUGCAUCAAGUUGUUUUUGAUUAUUUAUUGUUACUAAUAGUGCCGGAAGUAUAGUGUAUAUGAUUUUGAACUUCCAUAUUAGUCUACAAGAAUCACUUUGAAAGUUAAAAGUAAUCGUUAUAGCAAAUUAAGUUCCACACUUUUACCAAAAAAAAAAAGUUUUUGCACAUUGACAAGUUGUACAGUACCGUCUCUUUAACGUCACACAAAUAAUUUCUACUAGAUUUUGACUCGCGCUUCAAAAACACAUAUUUACUUUUUAGAAACAAAUUAAUACUUCUUAUAUGAAUUUCCAUAUAAGAUAGAGUAUCUGGACAAAUAUAUCCGGAAUCGAAGAACGAAAUUGUGCCAGACCAAAAUAUCAAAACCAAAAUUAAAACGAAUUUUAUAAAUAAUCCACCAAAUCCUAUAUUUUUGGAAUAAAAAACUGAACUGGAUCCAAAUCAAAAACCGAAUGGGUAUCCAAAAUUUUAAAAUACAAAUUAUAAAGGGAGAAUUUGUAUGAUAACCAUAGUGGAAGAAAAAAUAAGAAUAUAGCCAUAUAUCGAUAAGUGUGAUAAUUUGGUAUCAAAGUGGACCAAUCUCUCCUUUUCGGCGCGUGAUUAUUUGAAUGAAUUGUGUAAUAUUGUGCUAUACUAUAUUUGACAAUCAAGUCACAACAAUAACAUAUCACAAUGAAGAAAAUUAAAAACAAGUGGGAGAAUGCGAGAAAAAAUAAAAGCAAGACAUAAAAGAAGAAACAAAAAAUUGUUGUUCUGAAUAUAGAGAGGAAGGAUGGAGAGAGACAGGGAAAGAAAAAGAGAGCAAGAGACGAUAUUGUAUAUUAAUUAUCUAUUCUAUGUUUCUAAAUAGUUUGGAACACAACAAAAUUGUGUCUUAUUUGAAAACAAAAUCUGACUAUACUAUAUAUAUUUCUAUGAUAAUAUAGAUUUAAAGUCGUUUUUAUGGAAUAUUGUAAAAAAAAUUGAAAAAUAUAUGUUUGUUUUGAAGGUUUCGAAACGUAUUAUGUGUAAAAAAAAUCUAUGUCUUUAUUAUGUUAAAUUCAAAGUUUAAUAAUUGUUCUAACAGAAAUUAAAAGCAAUUAAAAGUAGAAAGGAAAAACAUAUUUAUAAGAAUAAAAAAAGUGUAUGUCAAAGGUAAUAUGGCAAUUAUUAUACAAAUAUCAUAACCUAAGUUAUCUUAUGGCUAUAUGCUUAAUUUUAUGAUCUUUUAUAGACAUGAACCCAAAUUUCCCAAUUAUAAACCUAAAAAUAUUAAAUUAAACUUAAUUUCUAUAUAACGAAAUAUCUUAAAAUACUCUUUAUAAACCGAAUUACCCAAAAACUAAAUUACACAAAUAUGUUUUUAUCUAAAAUAUUAAAAUUUAUCCAAGUUAUUUGAUAUUUUUAUCCGAACAAACCGAUUUACCUGCUAUUUAAACUAAUCCACCAAAUCCUAUAUUUUUGGAAUAAAAAAACUGAACUGGAUCCAAAUCAAAAACCGAAUGGGUAUCCAAAAUUUUAAAAUACAAAUUAUAAAGGGAGAAUUUGUAUGAUAACCAUAGUGGAAGAAAAAAUAAGAAUAUAGCCAUAUAUCGAUAAGUGUGAUAAUUUGGUAUCAAAGUGGACCAAUCUCUCCUUUUCGGCGCGUGAUUAUUUGAAUGAAUUGUGUAAUAUUGUGCUAUACUAUAUUUGACAAUCAAGUCACAACAAUAACAUAUCACAAUGAAGAAAAUUAAAAACAAGUGGGAGAAUGCGAGAAAAAAUAAAAGCAAGACAUAAAAGAAGAAACAAAAAAUUGUUGUUCUGAAUAUAGAGAGGAAGGAUGGAGAGAGACAGGGAAAGAAAAAGAGAGCAAGAGACGAUAUUGUAUAUUAAUUAUCUAUUCUAUGUUUCUAAAUAGUUUGGAACACAACAAAAUUGUGUCUUAUUUGAAAACAAAAUCUGACUAUACUAUAUAUAUUUCUAUGAUAAUAUAGAUUUAAAGUCGUUUUUAUGGAAUAUUGUAAAAAAAAUUGAAAAAUAUAUGUUUGUUUUGAAGGUUUCGAAACGUAUUAUGUGUAAAAAAAAUCUAUGUCUUUAUUAUGUUAAAUUCAAAGUUUAAUAAUUGCUCUAACAGAAAUUAAAAGCAAUUAAAAGUAGAAAGGAAAAACAUAUUUAUAAGAAUAAAAAAAGUGUAUGUCAAAGGUAAUAUGGCAAUUAUUAUACAAAUAUCAUAACCUAAGUUAUCUUAUGGCUAUAUGCUUAAUUUUAUGAUCUUUUAUAGACAUGAACCCAAAUUUCCCAAUUAUAAACCUAAAAAUAUUAAAUUAAACUUAAUUUCUAUAUAACGAAAUAUCUUAAAAUACUCUUUAUAAACCGAAUUACCCAAAAACUAAAUUACACAAAUAUGUUUUUAUCUAAAAUAUUAAAAUUUAUCCAAGUUAUUUGAUAUUUUUAUCCGAACAAACCGACCAAAAUAACCAAACCGAACUUUGUAAAUAUUUGAAUUGCUAAAUUUAAUGGUUCCUAAAUAUAAAGAACUGAAAAACCAAAAAAAAAAAACCCGAACAUAAACUGAAUGUUGAGGCGGAAUUGUUUAUCUACAUUUAAAUGAUGCGAUUACAAAUUAUUUAUUUCCUUUUAGUGGAGUACAUAAAUAAAUUAAGAUAUUUUGUACAUAACAUUAUUUUGAUAGAUCAAUAAAUUUGAAAUUUCAUCAAAAAAAAAAAUUAAGAUAUAAGAAUUGUUUUCGUAUUCGACUCAAACUCGAAGUCAAAUUGGUAAACCUGAUGAUCCAUAUAUAAUCCGGUUCAGAUUUAAUAAAAAAAUAUUAAUUAAAAAUUUGAGAAAGCCUAAAAAUCCACCUUUAACUUGUGACUUGAUAUGAUGCUGGUCGACCUAGUAAAAACCCAGAAAAAACAAUAUUUAAAAAAAAAUUGAUUUACUUUUUAAUAAAUACAUUAAAAUUGAAGAAAAUAGUUUAUCAAGUUUUUAAUUAGCUUAGCUUGAUUUAGUAUGUAGUCAUACACUUAUUGUAAAUAAAGAUUGGUAGGCUGUUACUACUGAAUUUAAUAAAUAUCUGAAAUGAGUAAGCAACCCGAUUUUGUAUUUUGUAAUCGUAACUAAACCAAACCUACCAAUUUUUGUUUUGAUUUUUAGUGUAUCGAUAUAUGGUAGGCGAUUCUGUAGGUAAAGGGAAAAAAAAUCAAAUGAUCACUUUGCCAUUAAUAUGUGUGCUAUUAGUAAUAAUAUUGUACUAGGAUAAAAACUGCGCUUUAUAAAAAUUAUUUAAGAAAUAUUGUAUGGAAAAAUUAAAUUUAUAUUCCUGAUCUAAUAAAUUAUUUUGUUAAUUAAAUAAUUUAUUUAUUGAUGAGCUGAUCCCAUUUUUUAAAAUAUUUUAGGUCAAAAAAUCACUUAUCGCAUAAGAACCAAACGUUUAGGCCGAAAAAUCUCAGACUUACAAUUUGGUUACAACGAAACUAUGUCACCUUGGUUUUAUAUCAUGAUUUAGCAAUUUAAAAGUUAAUUAUGGUUAUGAGAAGUUCAUGUGCCAAUCAUAUCUAUUUUCAAUAUUUUUUUUCAUUUUUGUGUCGUUUUUUUUCAUUUUGGUUAUUUCUCGAUAUAAAUAUUGACUUUGAGUUUAUUCUCAUUUCGUUAUUUUGUUUUGGUCUACGAUUUAGAAAAUGUUUGAGAUUUAAAAUUAUUAAAAAGAUACAAAGUUAUGUUAAGAUCUGCGCCUUGUGCAGAAUAAAUAUUUUAUAUUUAUUACUUAUUUUAUGUUUUUUGCAUAUUAUGAAAUAAUAAAAUAAUAAUUAUAUAUUAAAUAACUAUGAAAUCAGUUACUAUUAUGUAAUAAAUUGGCAUGCGCAUAUAAAUCAAACGACCGCUCUUGUUUAUUAGCAAUCAUUUAUUGUAAAUAAAUCAAAACAAUUAAUCUUAUCUAUCGUAUACGAUAUAUAAUUAAAUUUAAGUGAUAUUAACAUAGAUAUAUCGUAUACAUAGAUUUACAUAAAUUAAUACGGAUAUUUAUUAAAUGAGGUUUUUACUCAUAUGAUUUUAUGAUUAUUUGUAUAAAAAUAUUUUACACCAACCAUUUUUGUAAUGUGGAAUAUUUAGUGGUUUCAAUAAUUUAUAAUCAUUUAAAAAAAAGCGUUUUGAAAAUUUCAAAAUACAACAUAUACAAAAAAGUCUAAAUUUUUAUCUUAUGAUUAAUGUAAUUGUGUAAUUUAUUUUAUUAAUAAAUAAUUAAACAAAAAUGAUUGAAAUUAUAUAGAUUGUUUGCAAAUCUUUAUUAUUUAAAAUCAUUAAUUGCCAUAUAUAUCUUAAUCAUAUUACAUAAUUCUGUAGGUUUUAUUUAAGGAAAAAAUAUAUAAUAAUUUCAAUUUUGAUAAAUGAAUGGUUCAUAAUGGACAUACUAUAUAAUAUAACAUUUCUUAACAAUUUAGUUUUGAACUAACAAAACUAUCAAUUGAUUUUCAAGUCGCCACGUAAGCAAAAUUAACAUUUUUAUUACGUGACAACUCAGCAUGACAUUUUUUUAAUUAGUACAAAUUACAAGUUAUAACUUUUUAAAUGUUUCUCUAUUAUUAAUAUAUAUGGCAUAGAUAGAGAGAUAAAUAAGGUAAGACUACAAAUUAAUUAGCUAAUGAAUAGGUCCAACAACUUUGUAUAAGUAGAUUUUUUAGAAUUUUUCCCUUUUAAUAGAUAGAUAGAUAGAUUGAGUCAUGAAUUCCGAUAUGUUACUGUAAAUUCCGUCUUGAAUUCUCGUUGAAAACUCCUUAUCAAAGAACUUGACUACCACAGUACGUGAUUAGUUGAAAGUUGAAACACGGCUGUUAGGGGUAACCGGCUCCCUUUGUAACCAUAUACCAUUGCUUUGCUUAUCCACAGACUAGAAGUUGGGACAAGGACCCUGUUCAGCAAGAAGAUUACCACAAAUGCGAUCGCAUCUAGUUUAUCGUGUGAUGUGUUUUUCUCUAACUAGAACACUUUCUUUUGCCUCUUCUUUUUUCUUAUUUUGCUUUUUGUUUGGUGUGUUAUGAGCUUUUAAAGCGAACGUUGCUAGGGUGUGGACUGCAUGCAUGAUGCAUGCUAACUUGGAAAUUUACUAAAAUAGUGGAUUACAAAUACUAAUUUUAAUUCGUUGAUAUUUAUGUACUUAUAUGAGCUACAUAUGAGAAACAAACUUUUAAUGUUAUAGUCUUUCUACGAGAUUAUAGGGUUUAUUAAACCUUUUGAAAUUUUGUGGGUUGAAGAGAAAAAAAACACAACGAUUCACCAAUUUAAGGGCUUCCAAAUUCGUCAAUUUUGAGGCAAGCUCAAUAAGGUAAACGAAGAAAUUUAUAGAAUAUUUAAUUUUGUGGCUAUUUGUACUUAUAAGUUCAUGCCAAAUUGUCUCUUCAAUAAUAUCAGUACCAGUUGAAUAUACCAACACCAUGGUAAAAUACUACAAGGACAAAUAUUCUUAUUUGUACCUACUGGGCAAAAUAACCGGAACCGAAGAACCGAACCAAAACUGAACCGAAAUACCCGAAACCGGAAUCGAACCAAUACCUUCAGAUCCCCUAACGGUUCCUAUAUUUUUAUAUCCAAAAUAACCGAACCGAACCGAGAACCAAACGGGUACCCGAAUAUAUAAAAAUAUUAAUUAUAUAUACAUAUAACAUCACUAAAUAUAUAUUUUUAAUUUAAAAUUAUAUUAAAAGUAUCUGAAAAUAGUUGAGGAUAACUAAAUUAUUAUAAAGUAUCCAAGCUAUCCGAAAGUAUCUGAAACUAUCCGGAUAGUUUUAUCCGAAAUAUCCAAAGUAAUCCGAAAUGUCCAAUUUUUUUUAUCUAAAUCAUCCUAAUUAUUUGAUAUUUUACCCUAAAUAACUGAUAUUUUAUCCAAAUUAUCCGAACUACCCGAACUAUCCAAACUUGAACCGGAUCUAAAUGAGAACCGAACUUUUUCCGAAUAUUUUAUGGUUCUUACUAUUACUAUCCGAACCGAACCUGAAACUAUCCGAACCAAACCGAAAAUAGGUCAAGUACUAAAUAGAUUUUCUAGCCCCUAUCCGAACUACCUGAAACCUGAAAUAUCUGAAUCGAACCGAACCAAUAUCCAAAAUGCCCAGGCCUAGUACUUAUGGAUCACCACGAGUGUGAGUCUCUUAACAUGAGUCUCUCACAUGUACUUAUUAUUUCACUUUUAAUUUUAAACCGAAAAUGAUUUUUUUAAUAAAAUUUGUAUGAAUUUUAAUUAAUUCAAACAAAAGUAAAUUAAUUACUAUCCACUCUAUAAUGGUAAAAAUUAGUAAACUAUAUAAUAUAUUCACACAAAAUAUAAAUUGAUCAGCAUAUUCUACACUUUAAAUUCUACAACUAUAUACUAUAUAAAGUAAAUUAAAAAUAUUAAUUAUUUUUUAUCAAAAAUAAUUUGAUGUUUUUAAAACGCGGUUAGAAAUAAGUAUUUUCAGAAGGAAAUAAACAUUUUCGGCUAUAAAAGCAUUAAACCAGCGCUGUGUAGAAACCGGUUAAAUAUAAACCAAAAGUCAAUCGAGAUUCUCAGUGGAAAACCAAAGGAAUCAGAGAGAUAAAACUUGUGGGAACCAACCGAAGUCUGAAUCUCGACCAGAUCAAAAGCAAACACAACGAGAAGUAGAACCUAAACCUUCUUUGGUAAGAUCCGAUCUUUGUCACACCCCUUUUCUAUUGUAUAUCUGUUAGAUCUUUAAUCGAUCUCCAUUGAGUAGUUCUCGCAGUUGUGAUUAUUCGUAAGAGGUUAAUUUCAAUUUCGUGUGGUAUCUAAAGUAGUUGGUGAGAUUCAGACAUGGCUCCUGUCGGUCCUCGUUCCGGUGAUGCCAUCUUCUCCAGCAUCGAUCGCGUGGUAAAAGUUCAGUUUUUUUAAGAAUCUCUUUCUCGUUGUAGAGACAUUGUUUGAUUCUCUUGGGAUUUGGAUAAAUUUUGUAGAACGCAGAGUUGUUCACGUUGACGUAUGGUGCAAUCGUGCGUCAAUUGCUUACUGACCUCGAAGAUGUCGACGAAGUCAACAAACAGCUUGAUCAAAUGUAAUUCUUCUUCUUCUUCUACGCUUUCUUUAGCUCAUAGCAUUUUACAAUUUGAUCGAAAGUUAGUUCCUUUAUUCAUAUGGCGCAGGGGAUACAACAUUGGAAUCAGACUUAUCGAUGAGUUUCUUGCCAAAUCUGGCGUUUCCAGAUGCGUUGAUUUCAAGGAAACUGCUGAAAUGAUUGCCAAGGUUUUUGCACUUUCAGUUCACUUACUUGUUCAUUAUAUAUCGUAUUAAGAAGCAGUAACAGGCUUUGUGUUUACUUACAUUAGGUGGGUUUCAAGAUGUUUCUGGGGGUCACUGCAUCAGUGUCAAGCUGGGAUGCGGAUGGGACUUGCUGCAGUAUAAUCUUGGAAGACAAUCCACUCGUUGAUUUCGUGGAGCUUCCCGCUACUUGCCAAGGCCUUUACUACUGCAACGUCCUAAGUGGAGUCAUUAGAGGCGCUUUGGAAAUGGUCAGUCUUCUUCUAUCUUCCAAAAAUUUUUUAGUUACAUCCAAAAUGUUAUGGCUGAGUGUUUUUUUUUUUGUAAUGGUUAUUUGUCUGAACAAUGAUCAGGUGUCAAUGAAGACAGAAGUGACAUGGACGCGUGAUGCUCUUCGAGGGGAUGAUGCAUAUGAGUUGCAGGUGAAGCUACUGAAGCAAGUCGCUGAGGAGUAUCCGUACAAGGAUGAUGAAUAAAUGGGCUCUUUCUCUAUCUUGCAUUCUUAGCUUCUUUGGCUCUUUUUCCUUCAAGAAACACCAACUUUAAGCUUUGAAAUUUAAUACUGUUUUAUGUUUGGCGCAAACCGAUUAAUCCAUUUCUUAGCUGAUUUAUAAAAAUCAAUGUGAGAAGAGUUGAGCGUAUCAAAAAUAUACUGACAUCAAAUAAUAUACAGAUCAAUUCAGUGGGGUCAGAGGUUAUAGAUUUUGUAUCAUAGCACGGAUUCCAACUCUGGAAUGUGCGUAUGUGACCGUUAACACACAAGAAAAAUGAGAGUGGGUAAAAAUUGAUGAGACAGAGAGAAGAGUUUCUCUAAUGAAUCUACUUCUCACAUGCACGGUAACUCACUCACUAACUCGAGACAAAUAGAAUAGUAUUGGACACUGUAAAGUAACAGUGGUGCAAAUAUAACUGUCAUUUAGCUAACUUUUUAAGCAAAUGUAAUAUUACUGAUAGAUAAAGUUAAUAGGUUUGAAGAUAAUUUUUAUCAUUUAUGAAAAAGUUAAUAGUCAAUUGAAGAUAGACAUGAGAAGGCAUGGGCGUUGGGAUGGUUAACACAUCGUAUACGAUGAACUCGUUUUAACUUCGGGUUCGGUUUGGAGUUCUUUGGGUUGGUUAACACAUCGUAUACGAUGAACUCGUUUUAAUUUCGGAUUCGGUCCUACAUCGUGUUUCAGUUACCCAAAUACUUGUUUAUGAUUCAAAAGUAUACCCUUUAGUUCACAAACUUAGCAUGUAUAAACAAUUUUUACUAAUAAAAACUUGGUGGAAUAAUUCAGAAGUAAUCUUUAAAAGGAAAAAAAACAUAAAUAAGUUAAAUUAGCAACUAACAACUCUAACAAAUAGGAAACAUAAUUUAAACUUCAAAAUAAAUCAACAUUGUUGAAGUUGAAUUUCAGACGCAAAUUUAUUCAUAACUUAACUUCAAAAACAACUGUCAAAACAUAUUUUUUUUUUAAUCUUUGACUAAAUACUUAAAUAUAUAUAUUAAUCUAAAUAUUGAGUUAAUUAUACAUUUAAUAGAUACUUACUUUAAUACUCAAUAGUAUUUAAGAAUAUUUUGGGUACUAAUUUGAGAUUGAGUUCGGGUUUGGUAUGCGUUUCUUUUGAAAUUUUGAAUUUCUUGGGUUUUUUUUUGAUAUUCAUUUGGGUUUUGCUUUAUAUAAAAUCAUAAUCCAAAAUAUCUUAGAAUAAAACAUAUUAGGUAUUUAUGUCGGAUUAAAUUCGGCAUGAUUUAUUUUAGUGGGUUCGGUUCAUUUCAGGCUUUCGGAUUCAAUUUAUUUUAAUUUGUUUAUUUUAUUUUAUGUCAUAUUAAUGUUUUAAUUUUUAAAAUUAAAACAUGAACUUUAAAAAUAUUUUCAAUUAUCUCCAAAAUCACAAUUGAUUUUUGUUUAAUCGUUGGUAACUGGUUUAAGAUUUGUCUACUUUUUUUUUUGUCAACUAAGAUUUGUCUACUUUUUUGAACUUAUAAAUUGUUUUGUUUAUUAUUUACUAGGGUCGGCCCGCCCUACGGGCGGGAUGUUAAUUUAGAAAUAAUUUAGAUUGUCUAGUUUUUUUUAUCUUUGGCUAAAACUGGUUGUUUUUAAAAUGUUUUGUUUUAUAUUAAAAUGAAUCAUUUUUUAAAAAUAGUUUUGUUUAUAUAAGUUAUGUUGUUAUAUUUGAAUCGUGUGUGUGUGUUUUUUUGUUAUAAAAUACUAAAAUGAAUCAUUUAAAAAAAAACAAUUUAAUGAAUCUAUAACUAUAUAUUUUAUUUUUAUGUAGUUGUGUUAUUAAUUAUUUUUUUUAUAUAUGGGUGUUGAUAAUAGGAAGAGGAUGAUAUUCGGUUACCUAAUUUUGACUCUUCCCGUAUAUAUUAUUUAUGUAAUUUAUUAAUGAUUAUUGAUCGUAAGUUCUCACCCUGUAGUUCUGUUUCUUGACAUCAGAAUAAGGGUAUAUUUUUUCUCAUAAGAAAAACUCGUAGUUUAAAUUAAGAGUCGUAUGCGGAGGAAAUGUAAAAAGAAAACAGAGUGAAGAGUCAAAAUAAUUGGGAUUAUAGUCUUGCAACUGAUGUUUUUGCCGAAGCAUUGGAUUGGAUGAUGAUUGUAGUCUUCGUGAAUUGUUUCCAAAACAUCCGAGCAGUAGGGCCGGUUGCUUUCACUGCAAGGAAUGAAAAGUUUCAGCACCAGUGCCAAGCAAUGGGUGUUGUCAGUUCUUGUGAUCGAAAUUAAGUUGAUAUGGAUGUACUAUCUUAGCGUAUAGAUCUAACCUGAGUUAUCUGAACAUCCUUGAAGAUCUCCUUAUAAACGUUGUUACUCGAGAGUCGAGACAUAGCAACGUACAACUGACCGUGAGUAAAAACAGGGCGAGGAAGAUAUAAAGCAACUUGUUUCAGACUUUGGCCUUGGCUCUUGUUGAUCGUCAUGGCGUAGCACGAUUCUUCUCCUCCGGAGGGUCAGUAACAGUACUCUUGACGCUAAGGAUCUCUCCUAUGAUGUCUACAUUCAGUUUAGUUCCGGUGUGAGUACAACAUGUCAUGUAUAAAGCCAAAUUACGUAAGAAGCCUUUAUUAAAGUACCUGGUAACUGUGUGCUUGUAUUGGCCAAACCAAUCAGCUCCGACUGGUCACGGAACCGGAAUGCUUCCUCAGGCAACGCAGAGACCGGCUCAUCUAUCUCGUCAAAAGAAGUAGACUCAUUAAACCGGAUCAUCAAUGAAGAAUCACAAAGUCGGAAGUUCUGAGCACAUCUAGCGACAUCAAAAUCAGCCAUGGAAUACAUUGCACCGGCAGUAAGUCUUUCUUGGUACCGUGGGACACGGUGAGCGCUGAUUGUGGCCUGCAUCAUGGUUGCCUGUAUAUAACAACAUUUAAAAUAAAAUAUUAGAAAUAAGUCUGCUAAACAACGUUUUCAGAUUCACGAAACCACAAACCACAGGACCACUAUACAGCAAACACAAAUCACGUCUAAACCAAAAUGAUAUACAAAGCAAUCAACCACAUUAUCUAAAAGUUUACUACAACAAAAUUCUCGCAAAACACUUUGAGCAUAUAUGAAAGAGCUCAAUAAUGGAAAAAUUAUGACUUACGUAAAAUUAAAAAGGGUUCCUCAACCGCAAGAUUCUCUAUUAUCUACUUUAUAUAUAAAGAUAAAUAGCUAAGCGGAAAAAAACGAUCCAGUCACUGAUCCUGUUCAAAUACAUGAUCAAUCCCACACAAACACACAAUUAACGAUAACAAUCACGAAGAUCGGAAUUCCAAAAUUCACUUACAUUAACAUCGACCAACAGCAUAUCCACCCACAUAAGCUCCCAACCCCGCUUAACGUUCCUAGCCUCCCAGUACCUCAGCAGCCUAGCCUCCACAACAGAUGAACACUUCCCGGUCUUCAAAUCGGAAAAAAACACCCUAGAGAUGGCCAUUUAGAGAGAUGAGUUGAGAUCGUGAAAAAAGGACGAGCAGCAGAGAGAUGAGAAGAGCAAGAUCUCCAGAAAGAUGAAUACUAACCAAUUUAUAGAGGAGAUUACGCCAAAGGAGACGACGCAUUGAAGGGCUCGAUCUGAGCGUCCGUAUUAAUGCCAUUAAAGAUGAGGUCCGUUACAGAGCAAUGGAUAAUGAUCGAUCGUUCUUCUCGCCACCGAAAUCAGAGUUGGACGAACAGAUGCGAUAGUUAGGUCAAGCGGGAUGUCGCUUUCUGAUGCUAUUCACGGGCCGCGACGAACAAACCGAGGCCCAUCCGAAAACAUAAAGGCCCGCACGGAACUGUGAUGCAGCACAGCGUUUCAUUAAAGAGAGACACGUGUCGGCACGCGGAUGAAUGAAUUGAUGACGUGUCAUCCGACGUGGAGCCCUCAGGAGAGAUACAAUGCUUCUUUUAUAUAUAAAGAUAUAAAAAAAAUCUAAAUCCAAAGAGAAACCGAAGACCGAAACUUGAAUCUACACAUAAUUCAACCACUCGGCCUAGCCUAGGAUUAUAACAUUUAGUUUACAUCACAAUAAUAUAAUACUUAACACAAAUAUUUAUCUCAAACAAAUACAUCAACUCUCAUCUUCCUCCCAACAGAAUCCAAUCAAGUUCGCUAAUGCUCGGAAGAUUAGAAAUAUUAUUCUUCUUAUAAACAUCAUAACGUCAAGAUCAGUGAACCCAAGAAAAAAAAAGAAGCAAAAACAGACUCCACAAUCCACAUAAUAAAAUUGAAAAUACAAAAACAAUAAUUUCAUCUUGAUCAUGUCCCAAUCUCAUUCUCACCGGAUAAUUCUUCGAGGGAUUUUCCUUUGGGCUCAGGGACAAGGAAGGUGAAGAGCAUACCGACGAAGUUGAUGACACCAAGCGUGAUCAGUGAGUUCUUGAUUCCAAUGCCCGGUGGAUACCCUGCGUCCGUCUUGGUCUUGUCCUGUGGCUGAGCUGCGUAUAGGAACCCAAAAGCUCCCACGAUGGCUCCAGCCUUACCUGUUGCGGCUGAUAUCCCAUGGCACGUGGAUCUUAGCCUAGCUGGGAAUAUCUCGGCCGGUAUAAUGAAAGUGGUUGCGUUUGGUCCAAAAUUGGCAAAGAAGAAAGUGAGAGAGUACAUAACCACGAACCCUAAACGAUUCUCCGGUUUGGUCCAGUGAUCAUAAGGGAAGGCAAUGGCAAACAUAAAGACAGUCAUCAUGAAGAAUCCCAUCAGCUGGAUCGCAACUCUUCCCAUGAUCUCAAUAAACGCAACCGUAAACCAGUAACCAGGGACAGUACUGCAUAGCGCAAUGAGAGACUGAGCCCUAGCAAUCCUGAAAACCUCAUGGAUGGCGUUCAUAGUGGAUGCCUUUGGGAUCCAUCCGAUACCCGAGAAGAUAUCCUUUUGGAACAGGUUUUGGCUGUAAAAGGCAAUGUCAAGCAAGAACCAUGUGGUUGUACAUCCGAGUAGUGGAAGACCAUGGCGUUUGGCGAAUUCCUUGGAGAACAAGCCAUAGCUAAGUCUGGGGUCUUUCAUGAUAUCCGCCGCUCUUUCCUCCACCUCAAGUUGUAUUUGUAAGACCUUGGACAUGUCUUGUGCUGCUUGUUUGAUGUUUUUUGCAACCAAAGCAGUGUACCGAGCGGUCUCUGGCAUUUUCAUGCGCCAGUAGUAAGUCAAGACUGCGGGUAGAGCACCAAACAUGACGAUGAUUCGCCAAACGUAAUCAGCCUGAGGAGGCGUUGAGAGAACCCUAUCAACUUCAUAGGUUGGUGCUGGAAACUUCAUGUCGAAUAUAGAAGAUACUACAAGUGCCACAAAACCUCCAGCCAAUAUACCAACACCUUGCAUAGCAAAUACCGCAGCGAUGAAAGCACCGCGAGUCUUCUUGUUAGCGUAUUCAGACAUAAUAGUCGCAGAAAGAGGGUAGUCACCUCCAAUACCAAAUCCCAGCCAAAACCUAAACAUUAAUUACUUAUUACUUGUAUGUUAGUGUGUAUUUUUUUUGGGGGCAACUAUGUUAGUGUGUGUAUAUAUAUAUCAGGUUUAAAUUUGACUAAUCAAAAAAGAUGCAUAUCAAAAUAUAUAUCAGGUUUAAAUCUGACUAGUCAUAAAAGAAGCAUAUCAAAGAUAUUAUUAGUAAGCAUACAUAUAUAAUUAUAAUUUUACCUGAAGAAACAAAGGGUGGUCAUGACACCCGUGGCUUUGUUACCGAAGGAGAGACCCGAACCGAUGGAGCACAAAGUCAUCAUGAUCAAAGUGAUACCAUACACUGUUUUUCUUCCAAGCUUGUCACCGAGCCAUCCGAAGAAGAGCUGACCAGCAAGGGUUCCACAAAGAGCCGCACCAUUGACCGCUCCCGCAACGUGAGGGGGAAGUGAGCCAGGCUUGUCUGACAGUGGAUUGAAGUAGUAGAUGCGGCCAAGGAGUUUGGUCACCAGAGAGACACAGAAGAGAUCGUAGGCAUCAGUAAAGAAACCCAUUCCAGCAAUGAGAAUCGCCGUGAAAUGGUACAGUUGCGUCUUCGCAACAUCAAGUGCCUUAAGCACUCCUAGUUGUUUUUCAGGCAUUCCUUGAGCCUGACCAAGCGAGGUAAAAAAUUCAAGAUUUCAGUUCAUGAGCUUAUCUGUUUUGUAUAACCCAAAUUUGUAUGUACGAGAAAAAUGUUCACAAAUAUUUUUUUUUUUAGUUGUUAGAAAUUUGUUAGAAAGAUUAUGCUACGUUCUUAUUUGUAUGAAAAAUAUAUAAUUUGUAAGUUCUAUAAGAUUAUGGUACGUACUUUUUUUUAUCAACAAAGAACGUUGUAAAUUUUUAGUGGCCAUUGUAUCGCUUUUUAUUAUAAGUAUUUGAGCUAUGUAUGGACGAAAUUGUGUAAAAGACAAAAGAAUGAGAACUAAAUAAAUUUUAAAACUAAAAAAAAAUCAACAUGAUAAGGUAUAAAAUAAAAUAAAUUCGAUGGAAGUAAGCAAUAUUAACCUUCAUCAGCUUUGAAGGAGUUUUAGAACUUCAAUGGAGAAUUAGAGGAAAGCAUGAGAGAGAGGAUAUGAGGUGACAAAAUGAACAAUAUGGUGGCAAAUUUAUACAGAAGCAGAAGGAGCAGUACACAUUAGAGAGAGAGAGAGAGAGAGAGAGAAAAAGAGAGAGAGAGAGAGAGAGAGAGAGAGAGAGAGAGAGAGAGAGAGAGAGAGAGAGAGAGAGAGAGAGAGAAGAGAGAGAGAGAGAGAGAGAAAGAGAGAGAGAGAGAGAGAGACGUGAUCGCCUGCUUCUUCUUAUUAUAUAAUUUGCAAGUAAUCCAUUGGGGUUUAGACAGUAGUUAAUAUUCAUUUGUUAGCCGCGAAAAAAAAACUUUUGUAUAAUUAGUAAUAAUAUAAAAUCACUAUAGCAGUGUAACACAUGCCGUUUAUAUACUUUAAACAUGAUCAUGACACGCAUACACAUAUUUAAAAUUUAUAUUUACAUUUUAAAUUUGAGGUUUUGUAAUUUAUCAAAAUUUUAAGUUUAAAUACAUCGAACUAUAAAAUGUAAAUCUAAUAUUUAAUAUUUAGAUAAACUUUAAUUAGAAAAUAUGGUAAUAUAUGAUUUACCAGAGAAUAUUCAUUGUUCCAAAGGAACAAAAUAAUACUAUAAUGGUCCGACCACCUACGGCUAGUGUAUUUUUCAUGUUUGCUACUUUGAUCCGUACAUCUAUUUUGUACGACAGACAAAGCGUUAAUUUUUUUUGAAAAUUCAAAAAUUUGUUUAUUUAUGAUUUUAUAAUUAUCACAUGAACUAAUUUUCGUGAUUUGAUCUCACUCGCACAAUAUCAUGAAAUUUUUCGAUCCAUCUUUCGAUCCAUCUUUUGAAUACUCAAACUGAGGCACACUUACUUCUAGAUUUCUCUUUGGAUACAUAUCCGAAAAGAUAAAUACACUUUAAAAAAUAGUUAUAUAAUUCAAUUCUCUUAAAUUUUUUAACAUAUACCACAAACAAAAAUAUGACAAUCACUCCUCAUAAAACAUAACGUUCUCAUUGCAUUCUAGGAUUGUCACUCAUAUUAGCGGAAGUCUAUACUGAAUUUGGCUCUUAUACCAUUUAUAAUACUCCGACUAUGUAUAGCUAAUGAACCUCUCAUAUCCGUUUGCUCGACAUGUGGACUGCAUCUCUUGCAAUAGACAGUACGUUAGUUUCUUGAAAACUCAAAAAUUUUGUUUAUUAAGUCUGUAAUUUUCUAUGAUUUUUUUUGCGUGUUUUGGUUUUAUUUGUACGGUACUGAAUUUUUUAUCUGACCUCUCUAUAAAAUAAUAUGAAAUAAGUCAUUCUAGUAUGAUUUAUUACUUUGAUAUAAAUAAAAUGUGUGCGUGAUAAUCAUAAUAAAUCAAGUUAAAGCAACAAAUAUUCAUAAGACUAUAACAUAUGUAAACAGUAAAAUUGUGAAACGUGAUAAUCACAUUAUCCUUGCUAUGGUUUCAUACUUUCAUGCUUAUCGCAAGUGACAUGAAUAUUUGUUUUAUUGAAUUUCCUCGAUCUCUAGGUUGAAUUAGGGUGUACGGUAUACUUAUUGUCAAACAAUUUGUGCAUUCAACAUAGUAUCAAAAAUUCCUUUAAAAUGCUAGAAUUGAUGGAAAAGCAACACAUAUAUGUUGGAUCUGUUGUAUUUGACUCGUGGUGCAAUGAUUGGGACGCACUCAUUUCUUUACUCGAGUAAUAAACAAAUUUGUAAAAAUUUGUAAAAAUUUUAUUACUGGGGUGAAAACUUUUAAAUUCCAUUCAAAUCUUUCGUUAUUGAAAAAAUAUACUUAUCAUUAAUUUAGCAAUUCUAUUAAAAUCUAUUUUUAUUAGAAUGUAAAUUCUUUUUUUUUUCUCAUAAGAUUCAAAUUUUAGAGUAUCAGUAUAACCAUAAGAUUUUUAAAAUCUGUGUAAUUAAAACACACAAACACACAUAACUGAAUAAUACAAUCACUCAAAUCACAACUUUUUGAUAAUCUUAUCAGUACGACUCAUAAACAUUUUUUUUGCAAAACAGUAUGAAAACUAAUAUAUCAUAAAAUAUUAGCGUAUAUGAAUAUUUUCAAAUUCUUGUUUCAUGCAUAAAAAAUUGGUUUAAUAAUCAAAAGAAAAUUCAAUAGGACAAAUUAAAUAUAUAUUAAGAAGCAACAUAUUUAUGUGAUUAAUUGAAAUAAUGAAUUAAUUUACAGUAUGAAAACUAUAAAAUUAUUAUAUUUGAAAUAGUUAUAGAAACAUUUAAAUAUAUGGUAACAUUAAAAAUAUUAAUUAUAUAAACAAAUAUCUGUAUAUAUAAACAUGAAAAUAAAUACUGCACGGUUGUGCCUAAAGAUUAUGGUAUAUGAAUAUUUUUAAAUUGUCAUAAAAUUCAAAAAAUUACUAAAUAAUUAUUAUUUUCUUACUACUACUUAUAACUUAAAUUGAAAUUAGAUCCACUUAUUAUUUUUAAUAAUAGAUAAGGAAAUAUAAAAUAAUUUUCAUUUUUUUUAACUUUGCAUAUUUUAGUUUGUCAAAUAAUUAAACAUGUAACCAACAAAACAUAUAUAUAUAUAUAUAUAUAUUAAGGAGAAACAAAUACAUGUGAAUUUGAAAUAAUUAAUUGAAUAAAACAAACAAACGAUAAAAUUUAGGUAUUUGAAAAAUAAUAUAAAUAUUUAAAAUCUGUGUAAUAAGAACACACAAACACACAUAACUGAAUAAUACAAUCACUCAAAUCACAACUUUUUUGAUAAUCUUAUCAGUACGACUCAUAAACAAUUUUUUUUCCAAAACAGUAUGAAAACUUAUAUAUCAUAAAGUAUUAGCGUAAUAUACUUUUGUUAAUCUAACACUAUUAGCAUAAUCUAUUUUUGGAGAUAAUUAACAAAAGCUACAGUUAGCAUAACUGAUCCUGGAACAAUCAGGCUCUAGUUAUGAAAAUAACAGAUCCGUAAAACCAUCAAGAUCAACAGUUAGAACUGCUAAAACACAGUGAAAUGAGUCAUAAAAAAUUAAGUUGGAAAUGUUGAGAUAAAAAAAAUCUACAUAUGUUGUGUCGAACUUAAACAAUGGUUCAUUAUUUAUAAAACUUAUAUGAAGUCAACAUUCAUAUAACUUUCACAAAAAAUACCAAAACAGUUUUCUUGCAAAAAAUAGUUAUACUAGACAAUUUUUGUAUAACUAAACAAACAAAAGACUUAGCGAAACACUUUUCUUACAAACAAAGUCUUAUGAAUCAAUCUUCGUAAAACAAAACAAAAUUUUACAAAACGAUCAUCGUAAGACCAAACUAAACAAAAUUUUAUGAAAUGACCUUUGUAAAACCAAAUAAAGUUAUAUAAAACGAUUUCGAGUGAAAAUAGCCAUCUUAACAUCCAACCCUUUCUCCUAGCAACUAACUGCACAGAAUAAAAUUAAGUUAUUAACAGCAUCCUUUUUAAGUAAACCCGAAUCUAAUAUGGUAUCAGAGCACAGAUCCUAAUAAGUUAAACCCCUAAUUAGAUCCUAAUAUGUGCUCUGAUACCAUAUUAGAUUCACACCACAAUUUUCAUUUUGAUUCUGACCAUAACUUCUUAUCAUCAUAUAAAAUUAAGUUAUUAACAGCAUCCUUUUUUAUCUUUUAAACUAAAGAAAAAAGAAAAGAAAUGUUAUGGGCGAAAAUUAAUUCUUUAAUCUCUGAAGAAUUUAUAAAUAUAUCUAGUAGUUGUCGCUAUUUCUUAUAAUCCAACACAUAUAUAUUACAACUUGCUCUAAUCAACCAAUUUUUAUUUUAGAACAUUAUCAACAAAUAUCUUGGAGAGCUUACAAUUAAAAAUAUAAUUAAAUUUCUGAUUUUAUACCAUCCACAAAAGACAAAAGACAAUGUCGUUUUCAUUGCCCUUCUCCUGCCAUAAGAUAAACGACAUAGAGAACUAUUGGAAGUUGUUUCUAAUGAAAUUAUAAAAUUUGGGGAUUCAUUGUUAUUGGUGUAUGAGAUUUUAAAACUUUAGUAAAAAUUUUAUUACUGGGGUGAAAACUUUUAAAUUCCAUUCAAAUCUUUCGUUAUUGAAAAAAUAUACUUAUCAUUAAUUUAGCAAUUCUAUUAAAAUCUAUUUUUAUUAGAAUGUAAAUUCUUUUUUUUUUCUCAUAAGAUUCAAAUUUUAGAGUAUCAGUAUAACCAUAAGAUUUUUAAAAUCUGUGUAAUUAAAACACACAAACACACAUAACUGAAUAAUACAAUCACUCAAAUCACAACUUUUUGAUAAUCUUAUCAGUACGACUCAUAAACAUUUUUUUUUGCAAAACAGUAUGAAAACUAAUAUAUCAUAAAAUAUUAGCGUAUAUGAAUAUUUUCAAAUUCUUGUUUCAUGCAUAAAAAAUUGGUUUAAUAAUCAAAAGAAAAUUCAAUAGGACAAAUUAAAUAUAUAUUAAGAAGCAACAUAUUUAUGUGAUUAAUUGAAAUAAUGAAUUAAUUUACAGUAUGAAAACUAUAAAAUUAUUAUAUUUGAAAUAGUUAUAGAAACAUUUAAAUAUAUGGUAACAUUAAAAAUAUUAAUUAUAUAAACAAAUAUCUGUAUAUAUAAACAUGAAAAUAAAUACUGCACGGUUGUGCCUAAAGAUUAUGGUAUAUGAAUAUUUUUAAAUUGUCAUAAAAUUCAAAAAAUUACUAAAUAAUUAUUAUUUUCUUACUACUACUUAUAACUUAAAUUGAAAUUAGAUCCACUUAUUAUUUUUAAUAAUAGAUAAGGAAAUAUAAAAUAAUUUUCAUUUUUUUUAACUUUGCAUAUUUUAGUUUGUCAAAUAAUUAAACAUGUAACCAACAAAACAUAUAUAUAUAUAUAUAUAUAUUAAGGAGAAACAAAUACAUGUGAAUUUGAAAUAAUUAAUUGAAUAAAACAAACAAACGAUAAAAUUUAGGUAUUUGAAAAAUAAUAUAAAUAUUUAAAAUCUGUGUAAUAAGAACACACAAACACACAUAACUGAAUAAUACAAUCACUCAAAUCACAACUUUUUUGAUAAUCUUAUCAGUACGACUCAUAAACAAUUUUUUUUCCAAAACAGUAUGAAAACUUAUAUAUCAUAAAGUAUUAGCGUAAUAUACUUUUGUUAAUCUAACACUAUUAGCAUAAUCUAUUUUUGGAGAUAAUUAACAAAAGCUACAGUUAGCAUAACUGAUCCUGGAACAAUCAGGCUCUAGUUAUGAAAAUAACAGAUCCGUAAAACCAUCAAGAUCAACAGUUAGAACUGCUAAAACACAGUGAAAUGAGUCAUAAAAAAUUAAGUUGGAAAUGUUGAGAUAAAAAAAAUCUACAUAUGUUGUGUCGAACUUAAACAAUGGUUCAUUAUUUAUAAAACUUAUAUGAAGUCAACAUUCAUAUAACUUUCACAAAAAAUACCAAAACAGUUUUCUUGCAAAAAAUAGUUAUACUAGACAAUUUUUGUAUAACUAAACAAACAAAAGACUUAGCGAAACACUUUUCUUACAAACAAAGUCUUAUGAAUCAAUCUUCGUAAAACAAAACAAAAUUUUACAAAACGAUCAUCGUAAGACCAAACUAAACAAAAUUUUAUGAAAUGACCUUUGUAAAACCAAAUAAAGUUAUAUAAAACGAUUUCGAGUGAAAAUAGCCAUCUUAACAUCCAACCCUUUCUCCUAGCAACUAACUGCACAGAUGGCUUCUUCACAGCUUCUUCCUUGCAACUAGUUGCAAGCAAGGGCCUUUUCUGGUAAACUUUUCGAAGGAAUUAAUAGGGACCAUUUAGAAACUUUUAGGAAUGUGAAACCAGAAUGCCAAACAUAGUUUGAGUUUAAUAUCAAACGAGUGAAGGAACCAGUCGAAUAACAUAGCGAAUCAUCUAUACAAACCGUAAGCUUACAAACAAUAUUUGUAUGAUUGAUGGAUCAUGGACCCAAGACUCAUUUUUUAAUGGUUAUAGUUCGCUUUGAAAAAACUCUACAUAAAGAAUCAAAUUUUGGAGAGCUAAAAAUUAGUGGAGAAAAAUGCCAUUGUUGCAUGCGGAACUCUGAGGCUUUUUUGGGUUAUGAAAUGCAUGCUACAAAUAUUGACGUGUCAACAUUUUAGUAUUGAUUGAAAAAUCUGAUCUUAAUGAUAUAAGAUGCAGAAGUCUGACCAAGUUUUUCAACAGAAUUAAAGAGUUGUCAAGACUGAAGAGCAGAUUUAUAGACUUCUCUAUUGUUUAUCAUUCUCGAAGCGGAUUUAGUAGCUAAAAUAGUAAAGACAUAUCAUAAGAAUCUAUAUUACAUUAAUACAUUGGUUAUUCUCUUGUUUGGUAGAAUACCUCAAGAUUGAAUAGUAAAAUGUUAAUAAAAAAUAGCUAAGCAUAUUUCCUAUGAAAAAAGCAAGCAUACUCUCUUUCUAUCAAUAGCGUUUAUUUAAUUUUCUUUUAUUCCUUAAGUCUUUACUAAUUACCGAUCGAUACCAGGAAUCUUAUUCAGAUUAAUUAAUUAUUGUGUCUAUACUUUUCGAACCAAAAUAAUAUAUUAGCUAGUGACAAAGUAGUUGACGUUUUGAAUUAGAUUAGGUUUGUUUUCGAGUAUUAGUUUUAAAGAAAACAAGUUAUUAAAAUAGCAGGAAAAGAAAAAGAAAAAUAUGUAAGAUGUUUGUCCUGAAGUAAUCGCUGACGUAGUUGCUGAAACAAACGUCGUGUUGAGUGGUGAAAAUUAUGUGGAUUCAAGGUGCUGAGCUGGAAUCGUAUAGAUUUGGAGAGCAAGAGAAUAUCUUAGAGAUAAAGAAAGAAAAGUAAAUUUGAGGAGCAAGUUUAUGACUUAAUGGAAGAAGAAUAAGUGCAUUCCAAGAAAAGAAAAAUUACACUUAAUGCUAUGGAAGAUCACUACAAAAAAAAGACUGUAAUACAUCACUUAAAUUGAAUCAGAAAAAUAAAUGAUAGUAAUUUGAAUUAUUUAUCAGCAAAUGAUUCAAAAUAUGUGUUUUAACAUCAAUUAUAACAAACGAUGAUACUAUUAAUUUAUUUGACAUCACUUUAAUGCAAUUGAUACAAAUCUAUAUUAAUUUACAUCACUUUUAUAAAACUGAUAGAAAAUAUAGGUUUACAUCAAUUAAAUAAUCGAUACAUUCACUAAUUUGGAUUAACAUCACUUAUAAAAAUGAUACAAUAGUAACAUCAUUUCAAUAAAUGUUGCAAAUUUGACAUCAAUAAUAAAAUGAUACUAACAUAAUUUUAACUAAAAUAUUAAUAUGUGUAGGUAUUUCAGUUAUGUCGCUUGAAUAUAUUUGAUGUUGCAAAUUUUAUUUUUUACAAAUUAAAAUACAAUAUUAUCAUAUGAAUUUUAUACAGAUAAAAUCUGUUUAUCUGUAUAUUUAAUCUUAUAAAGAAAAUUUGUAUUGCGUUGAUAUAGAAUUUGAAUUCAUAUAAUAAAUAAGUUAGAAAAAUUGAUAUGUUGAAUAUUAAAAUGAUAAAUAUAGACUAAAUGAAGAAUUUUAAAUCUAUAUUUAAAAAUACUUUUAUGCUCAUUAUAAUAUAGAAUUAAUUAAACGAAAUAAGUUAGCUAAAAACAGAAAUUUACAACUAACGACUUAAUUGAUAAAUGAUGUUCAUAUUCAUGUUGUCUUGGAGACUAGGGUUUCAGGAACGUGGAGAAUAACUAUAAGAUAGCUAUGGGUCGUCUGAAAAGAGACAUAGACACAUAAGCUGAUUUUAUAGAGAGAGGGAAAAGUUUUUGAGAGUGUCUUGGUCGUGCUGAAUCAGUUGCCGAAGUACUUGAUAGAAGAGAGACAUGGUUGAGUAGAUUAGGAAUCUUUCAGUAGCAGCUGUUAAGGUGUUGACAGACUGUGUAAAGCUGGUAAGCAAGUAUUGUAAUAGAUUGUUUAGGUGAUUUCUAAUAAAAUAUAGUUAGUUGCUGUAUCCGAUUAUCUCUUUAAUUUAUCUUAUGUAUUACUUUAUUGUGGUGUUAUCUUUGCACUAACAAAAGACAGCAUUAGAAAAAAGAAUUUGAAAAUCUGUCGUACGAUUUGAUGAUUUAAUUUUAUAAUAUUAAAUCAUCUUCUAAGAAUUAAAAAUACCAAUUCAGCCUAUUGAUUAUUAAAAAUAAUACUCAAAGGAUAUUAAAAUGACAUGUACGAUGGAUUUAACAAACGUAUCCAAUGAGAUGUAUCCAUUCUAGGAUGCAUUAUUAUAUCUCUAUCAGAAUAUGUAACAGACAUGUCACCCACAAUAAAUCCAGCAAUUUCGUAUCCUUGUGGAAAUUCAAAUUGUCUUUCACGUUCUUUAUUUCCGAGUAUCUUAACUGAAUAUUCUUCACUUGCUUUUGACUCUUAUCGAUUUCUAGCUAUUCUGAACACUUUAGCUAACUCAUUGCACUUGUCAUGCAUCUUAGUUAAUCCUCUCAUAAUACUUUCAUCUAGGUCGUUUUUUUCUUUUGCUAGUUAGUUGAAACGGUUCUGAAGUUCAUGAGCCGUAUCAUAUAUGUAUACCUGUGCAAAACCUGGUAUAUCUCCUUCCGCUAGUAGUAAAGAUCCAAUUUUAUAGUAGUUUUGAUCAUGCAUACGAAAAAGAAAGGACCAUUUCCUGAAUGCAUAUAGUUAUUAAUUUUCCUCCCAUUGAUGUAAAAGCAAGCACUAAAUUAUAUAUCGUAUAUAUUUUCUGAAACGAAGUUGACUGUGAUAGUCAUCUACGAGAGCUGGAGGUUCUCAAGAUUAUUGUAGGAUAACUCGUCUCUGUGACAUUAAGAUCAAAAUUGGUUCUUUCAUUCCCUUUCAGUUUUAAACUUUUAGUUUCCACACCAAAGCUUUCAAGUGAGUACAUGUGAGUGUGAUCAAUUCAUUGGCUUUUUUCUUUGGGAAAACUGUUUUUUUAGAGCAAAAAAAUGGUAACUAUGUCUCUUUAGACUAAUAUAUAUUUUGUGUCAUAUUUUCCUAUAACACCCUUUAAUAUUUUUGAAAAUAAAUUUAAUAAAUAGUUUUACAAACAAAAAAAUUUUGGAAAAAUUGUAACUUUUGAUAAAAUACCUAUAUGAACUUAGUGAUAUUUUUUCUAAUUAUAAAAAAGUUAAAAUUAUAAAUUUCAUAUUAUGUUCUAAAUAAAGUAGAAAUGACAUUCUACGAAGUAGAAAACGAAAUCCACUUUUUUCAUUGAAUCUACAAUGUUUAGAAUACGUGAUCUACGUAAAUAGGAGUAUUCUAAAAAUAUUUAGAAUACACAUUCCGCGCUUAACCUAUCGUUCUAAAAUCUUUAGAAAUCAAAAUCUACACAUUAAUAUAAAUCUAAAACACGUAGAAACCGACUUCUACAGAUUUACUAUAAAUCUAAAACAUGUAGAAAUCAAACUCUAAACAUUACUAUAAUUCUAAAAAACUGUAGAAACCGAUUUCUACAUAUUAGUUGUAUUCUACGGAUAAGAAAUCAGUUCCUAAAAAUAUGGAAACAAAAUAUUUGAGAAUAUUCACUUUUAUAUUUUUUAAAAAAAAAUCGAUUUUUUUUUAAAAAAAUAAAAAAAACGAAAAAGGAACAAAAAAAUAAAAAAAAAUGAAAAAGAAAUAAAAAAUUACAAUUUUAAGGGCAUUACUGCCAUUUUGAAAAAAAUUAGUCUAAUGGGACAUAAAGUAGUAUAGAUUAGUAUAAAGGGACAUAGUUACCAUUUUUUUUGCUCUAAAAAAACAAUUUUCCCUUUUUCUUUUAUAUUUUUUUCCCCGAAAAAGGGGUUAAUUCUAUAUAUAUAUAUGCACAGGCCCAUUGAAACUUAUGUAGGCCUAAUUUUAUCAAGUAAGUAAUUACAAAUUCGUAUGAUAAAAGAUAGUGAAUCAAUUAUUUUUGGAUGAACGUGUUUUUAAUAUUUUUAAUAGGAUACACUAUAGAGAAAGACAGUUGUAACAAUUUUUCAAGCUGCGUACUUGUAAGUUGGGGAUCCUAUGUUUUGUAAAAUUGUGUUAGAGAAUGAAAGUUUAUGGAUGUGAAUCGGAAUUUGACUUUUAACAGUUACAAAUUUAUUCAUAUUGUCGGCCCAUUCUUGAAAUGUUAUAGCUGUAUACAGAGCCGGCCCUUUGGGCCAAGCUAAUGAAACAUGGACUUCUGGCCGAUUUAUUAAUCAAAAAUUUUUGACCACAAUUUUGUCAAGUAUUUCUUUAGCCUAAUUGUAAAAGUUCAAUUCCUAAUUUCAGAAACAUCAACCCAUGUUCAAUACUUCUUUACCUCAUAUUUCUUUUCUGUUUUCCUGAAAAAGUGGCCUUUUUGUUGUUGCUUCUAGCCCUAUACAUCCUAGGACCGGUUCUGGCUGUAUAUGAGGUCAGGCCCGUCCCUGCAUUAAAGCAGGUAAAACAAUGGCUUUAGAUCACAUAUUAGAAAAAUAAAAUAUAGGCCACAUUUUUCAAAAUUAACUGCAGCUCAAAUGGUUACAUAGGAGAAGUUAGUGAUCUUCUUUCCUAUGGCUCAAGCUACGAACUCAUUUUGCUAUAAUUGUUUUGCUAACUUACUAUAAAGGCCACAAUACUUUUGACAUGCUUUAAGCCUCAAAUUUUUUUAGGACGGCACUGUAUGAGGUUUUUCAAUCACUGGCUUCUCAAUCGUAAGUAAUCUGUUCAUUAUUUAGAAUAGCUUGUUUUCUUUUGUUAGCUGCAUUUCCAGUUUUCUCUGGUGUGUUCAUGUUUUAAUGUUUCAACCGAGUGUCGUUUAUGGAAUGCAUUUUAUUUUAAUUCAACUUCAUUGUGGUUGCGGUUAAGUACUAAAUUUCUUAAUGUGAUAGUUGAGAUUGUUUAAUUGUGGAUAUGUUCUUUUUAUAAAAAAAACUGACUUAAAUAUUUUAAUAUGUUUGUUUUAUUCCAAGUCAUCUAAUUUUAUUCAUGCUCGUAUGUGUAAUAGAUUAUUCUAUUUUGUGUUCUUUCUGAGUGUUCAACUAUAUACUUUUCACAUUAAUAUUUGAUUAGUGUUCAAUGAUUUUUGUUUUCAAAUUCAUGACGUAACUCUAAAAACCCUAUAUUUAUAUAGACACAAUGAUCUACGAUCUCUUAUUUCUAUUACAAAAACAAAUUUUACAGUUUUUUUAUGUUUAUUGUUUUCCUUUUAUAUCUCUCUAUAUUUUCUUUAUCUAACUUUUUGAAUUUUUUGUUAUCUAUUAAUUGUUGGUGUGGUUUUGCCUCAGAGUUUAUUGAAUAAAAGGAAAAAAUAUUUGAUUCAUUACUUAUUUUCAGCAGAUACUAAUGAGAAGGCAUUGAAAGAAGUUCGUUUUUUUUAGGCUUUCAAGGUUUAGUUAAGACUUUGCCAAACUCAUACCAUCCAUUUCAAAUGGGAUUUUAGCUCGAGAGUAUGUCCAGACCUCUCUAGCACCAUUAUUAACUGUGCUUGUGUUUCAGAACGGAGAAAGCUGGUCUUAGAUAAGAGACGCAAAAGAAGUCUCUAGCCUUUUUUUGCUUAAUUUGGUUUGAUAAAUCGAAAAAUAAAUAUUACGAAUGUUACCUUAUUUUUCAUUCGUGUUAGUUUUUUCGACAUAUUCUUGUAUAGAAUAUAUAGAAAAAGAAAUUUCUCUAUCAAAUUUUUUUCUAUAAUUCUCUCUCAAAAAAUUCUAUAUAUCCUUGAUAUUUAUGUAUUUUUGCUAUAUUGUGUAUUUUGGGUAAUGUUAUGAAUUUUACUAAAUUUUAUUGUUUUCUUUGGUUUGUAUUGUACUUUUUUCCUAAUAUUUUUUAAAAAUGUAUGUUUUGAUUAUGUAUUAAUAUUUACUAGAUUCUGACCUGCCCUUAAAAGGGCGGUAUAUUUUUUUGUUUUACAUAUUUUGAGAAAUCUAAUUUUUAUUUUUGUGUGUGUUUUAGUUAUAUUUGUGUUUUUUGUAUAAUAUUUAUCUUAAAUGAUUAAUAAGAGGUUUUAAUAAUUUUAUUAAAAUAGUUAGACCACACCUAUAUCAAUAGUUCAUGUUGCUAUUUUAAUAGAAUAGAUUCCAUAACUGUUUUCAAUUUUGUAAAUUUAAAUUUAGUGAUCUAAAGAGGAAACAAUUUCUGGUAAGUUCAAUUUUUUAUUAGCAUGAACUUGAUGAAAUCUGAAAGUAAUUUCGCAAAUACAAUUUUACUGAUCUAACAAAUUUUUCUAUUUAUUCUUAACAUAUAUGUAUUAUUAGGGUAUAUGAUCCAUUCUAACCAAAUUAUUAUUUAUUGACUACAUUUUUCAUCAAACUCAAAAGAUAUUAUAUAUUUUCACUAAAUUUUAACUGCAAUUAUGUGUUAUAUUUUGUUCUGUAUAUGAAAAUAUUUAUAAUAGCUUGACAGGAUAUUAGAGAGAAAUUAACAUUAGACGAAUGAUCAAAUCUAUCAUUUUUUGAAGAAAUUCAAAAAAAGGUGAUUGGAAUCUUGUCAUGAUAUUUCAUAAAAGUUUUUUAGGAAUGAAAAUCAAGACUAAAUUAUUUAAUCUGAAUGAAUAUAUAUGAUGUUUCCAAUUAAAAAAUCACUUCGUUUGAUCUAAUAUAUAUAUAUCGAUCAAAUAACAUAUUAGAAACCACCUAUUUUAAAAACUAUUGUGUACAUAAAAGUAUAUACAUUAGAGUAAACACAUAAAUCAAAACAAAUACCUUUUAUUUAUUUACAAUCAUGUUUUUGGUACGUAAAUCAAAACAAUUAUUUAUUUAUUUCACAUGGUAUAUAAUUAAACUUUACUGAUAUUGACAUAUAUAUAUAUAGACUAUAUUUUAAUGUAAAUAUUUAUUAUUGACACUUUCUAAUCAUAUGAUUUUAUUAACAUUUGUAUAUUUGCUGUAACAAAAAAUUGAACCGUUAACUACAAAACUCUUAAUAUGACACUUUAUUUUCAUACGAUUUAUGAUCAUUUGUAUCUUGGUUGAACGAAAAAAAUGUUAAACCAUUGUUCAUAAAAUUUUCAGUGCGAGAUUUUUAUAAUUUUUAAUAAUUUAUAGUCAUUUUAAAAUUUUAAAAUAUAACAUAUAAAAAAUCUAAUUUUGUAUUAUAUGUUUAAUUUGAUUUUUUAAUUUCUUUUAGUAAUUUAAAAUUAAACAAAAAGAGAGAUGAUACAAAAAUUGUUAUCAAAUAUGUAUUAUUCAAAAUCAUUAAUUCCCUAUAUAUUAAUCUUGGAGCAUUAAAACAUGUUUUCGUAGCCACGUGUCACCACUAGUAUGAUUCUUAGAAUUCUUAUCAGAAUAAUUGGUGCAUACAAAUAUAUAUAUUAUACUUUUUAUUAAACUAACUAUCAAAAUGAUUAGUAGUGUCCAAACGAAUAUUGUCAAUUUUUUCCUUAUAUAAAAGCUACGAAAUUACCUAAUAUAGUUAACAUAUAUGUGACAAUGAAUGAUUAUGAAUAAUACAUAUUUGAUGACAAUUUUUGUAUCAUCUAUUUUUUUGUUUAAUUUUAUAUUAUUUAAAGAUAUUAAACAAUUACAUUAAGCAUAUAAUAAAAAAAAUUUGAAUUUUUUCUUAAUGUUAUAUUUUGAAUUUCUUAAAACGACUAUAAAUUACUAAAAAUGGUUAAAGUCUCACACUGAAAAUUUUCUGAUCAAUGGUUUUAAAAUUUUUUAGUUCAAGCAAGAUAGAAAUGAUCAUAAAUCGUAUGAAUAUGAAGUCUCAUUACAAUAUAUUCAUAUUAUAUAUAUAUAUAUAUAACAUUUAAAUUAUAUUAUAUACUAUAUAAAAUUUUAAAAUAUAAAAUUUUAAAUUUUGCAUUAAUAUAUUAUUGAGAUCUUAAUAUUUUAAUUUUCAAAUUUGUAUUGAUAAAUCUCACAUUAAAAGUUUUGUGACUAACAAUUUAAAUUUUUGUUACCACAAAUAUACAAAUGUUAUUAAAAUUAUAUGAGUAGGAAGUGUCAAUAAUAAAUAUUUAUAUUAAAAUAUACUAUAUAUAUCUAUGUCAAUAUCACUAAAGUUUAACUAUAUACCAUAUAAAGUUUAAAUAGGUGGUUUCUAAUAUGUUAUUUGAUUUUGACAAUCCCAUAAAUACAAUUUUUCAAAUCGAAGUGAUUUUUAAUACUGGAAGCACUAUAUAUGUAUAUAUUAUUUCAUUCAGAUUAAGUAUUUUAGUCUUGAUUUUUAUUCCUAAAAGAUUUUAAUGAAAUAUCAUGACAAGAUUUCAAUUACCUUCUUUUGAGUUUGUUCGAAAAAUGAGAGAUUUGAUCAUCCGUCUAAUAUUUUUUUCUCCCUAAUAUAUUAUCUAGCUAUUUUAAUUGUAAGAAUGGGAGAUUUAAACUAUUUAAUAUAAGUUUUCUGGUUUAUCAUUUAAUAAAUCAAACAGUUCUUAUUUUGUACAUAGUUUACAUAUACUAGAAUGGUAAAUUAUUAUAUGCAUUUUUUCGAUAUCCUCUUAAGUAACUAAACCUCAAAAGCGUAGGUUAAUAAAAUAAGUAAUUUUUUUUGUUGUUCUAGAAUUAGAUGAAUUUUAGAUCGAAGUGGUGAAUAUAUACUAGACGUACAUUUAUAUUUCGAAUCUGCACUUAUAUUAUAUAAAAGCUUGAUAUAUUAGAUUUGAACAUUAACAUGUGAAUAGAGUUUGCCGGUGGUUUUCUUCAAAAAUUUGAUUUUUAGAUAUGUAUGUGAAGUGGAACUAAUUUUUAAAGAUGUUCAUCUUUUUAAAUUGACAUUUAUGUAAUUCACCAAAUUCAGAAAAGAAACUAAAAAAGAAACAAAACUCAUAUAAGUGAAACAUAAACAAUAACGAAAGCACAAUUUUAUAGAAGUAGAAAAUGAAAUCACUUAUGGAGAGUCAAUAGUAAACCAAUCAAGAGCAAAAAAUCUUCUAUUUACGUCAUUUUACAAUCGAUGUUGUCUAUCUAUUUUUUAUUUGUGUCAGCCGCAAAACUUAUUUUUUAUGCAUAUGAAAUCUUAAAAAUAAGUAAAAUGAGUUGUAAUACAUUAAUUCUUCAAUAACGAUGAUACAUAGAUCAACAUUUGUAUUCGUCAUUGUAAUCAUUUUACAAUUGAUAAAGAUUGUAGUGUUGCAAAACUUUAAAACCAUUUAAUGAACAAACAUUUGUAUAAAAUUUCACUCUGCGCAUACGCGCGAAUUAUCAUAUAGUUGUCAUAUAUAUAUUAAUCAUAUCAGGUAAUUCCGUAGUUUUUAUUUAAGAAAAUAAUUGAUAAUUUUUUUGUAUAAAUAUAAUUUAUAUUUAUAUAGAAAAAUUUAUUUUCCUAAGGAUUUUAAAAAUUAUCCUAGUGAUGACACGUGCCUACAAAAACAUGUUGUAAUACUUCAGGAUUAAUAUAUAAAUAUGAUAAUGCAUAACUUUAAAAACAAUAUAUGUUCAGUUUCUAUAGUAUCACGAAAAAUCUGAUGUUAUUUUAGCCUAGUACUAUAACCAUGGAAUAUUUACUAAAAUACGUAUCUUUCGCAUUCAUUAGUUUAUUUGAUACAUACUCCUAUUCCUCCAUUGAAUAUUUGUAGAGAUUUUUACCAGAAACAAAUAUUUGUACAGUGAUUCAUCAGAGAACAGUAGUUGAGUUUGCAUUUUUUUUCUUAAUUACUGUAUUAGGAGAAAAAGGCAAGAUUAGUCUCUCCGAAUUCUCCGAAAAUAAAAAUAGAAAUGUAUCCGUGAAUAGCCGAAUAGGGAAGCGUGCCAGGGCUAUCUCAAUCUUCCCAUACUUAUCGAUCACGUCAUCAUCCCCUUUGUCCGAUACGAAACCGAACCUCCCUUCUUUAAAAUCCACACCUUGUCCGAAUCUCUCUCCAACCGCUAAAAGAGAAAAAAAAUGGCGACAACCCAGCUAAAAUCGGAUGCGAUCAUGGAUUUGAUGAAGCAGCAUCUCUCCACCGACGCCGGUAAAGAGCUCACAGAGAAGAUCGGUCUCGUUUAUCAGAUCAACGUCGCUCCCAAGGUUCCAAUCAAGAGCAAAAAAUCUUCUAUUUACGUCAUUUUACAAUCGAUGUUGUCUAUCUAUUUUUUAUUUGUGUCAGCCGCAAAACUUAUUUUUUAUGCAUAUGAAAUCUUAAAAAUAAGUAAAAUGAGUUGUAAUACAUUAAUUCUUCAAUAACGAUGAUACAUAGAUCAACAUUUGUAUUCGUCAUUGUAAUCAUUUUACAAUUGAUAAAGAUUGUAGUGUUGCAAAACUUUAAAACCAUUUAAUGAACAAACAUUUGUAUAAAAUUUCACUCUGCGCAUACGCGCGAAUUAUCAUAUAGUUGUCAUAUAUAUAUUAAUCAUAUCAGGUAAUUCCGUAGUUUUUAUUUAAGAAAAUAAUUGAUAAUUUUUUUGUAUAAAUAUAAUUUAUAUUUAUAUAGAAAAAUUUAUUUUCCUAAGGAUUUUAAAAAUUAUCCUAGUGAUGACACGUGCCUACAAAAACAUGUUGUAAUACUUCAGGAUUAAUAUAUAAAUAUGAUAAUGCAUAACUUUAAAAACAAUAUAUGUUCAGUUUCUAUAGUAUCACGAAAAAUCUGAUGUUAUUUUAGCCUAGUACUAUAACCAUGGAAUAUUUACUAAAAUACGUAUCUUUCGCAUUCAUUAGUUUAUUUGAUACAUACUCCUAUUCCUCCAUUGAAUAUUUGUAGAGAUUUUUACCAGAAACAAAUAUUUGUACAGUGAUUCAUCAGAGAACAGUAGUUGAGUUUGCAUUUUUUUUCUUAAUUACUGUAUUAGGAGAAAAAGGCAAGAUUAGUCUCUCCGAAUUCUCCGAAAAUAAAAAUAGAAAUGUAUCCGUGAAUAGCCGAAUAGGGAAGCGUGCCAGGGCUAUCUCAAUCUUCCCAUACUUAUCGAUCACGUCAUCAUCCCCUUUGUCCGAUACGAAACCGAACCUCCCUUCUUUAAAAUCCACACCUUGUCCGAAUCUCUCUCCAACCGCUAAAAGAGAAAAAAAAUGGCGACAACCCAGCUAAAAUCGGAUGCGAUCAUGGAUUUGAUGAAGCAGCAUCUCUCCACCGACGCCGGUAAAGAGCUCACAGAGAAGAUCGGUCUCGUUUAUCAGAUCAACGUCGCUCCCAAGGUUCCCCUAUUCCUAGACUCGAUAUAUGUUCUUUUAAAUUUUUUGUUAAUUUUUUUUCCGUUUUUUGUUUGAAUUAUCAGAAAUUGGGGUUUGAAGAGGUUACCUACAUCGUUGAUCUGAAGAAAGGAGAAGUCACCAAAGGUUAGCUCUCUCGUUGAUUAUGUCAAUUGGGUAUUCGAAUUUCGUAUUUGGAUUCCGUUAAAUCAAUUUGAUUGAUUGUUGAUUAUGCGAAAUGAUUUAAAGGAAAAUACGAAGGAGGGAAAGUUGAUGCUACUUUCUCCUUCAAAGAUGAUGACUUUGUCAAAGUUGCUACCGGCAAGAUGAAUCCUCAGAUUGCUUUCAUUAGGUUUGUUCUUUAUUACAAGUGUUUUUUUUGUGUCUGAACCCAAAUUCACCAUUAGCAACAACAAACACAAGCUUCUGUUUUCUUCGAUUUAGUACAAGAAGUUGAUCUCUGAGUCUCUGUGAAUGUUGAAUGUUUUUGGUGCAGGGGUGCGAUGAAGAUCAAGGGUAGUCUCAGUGCGGCGCAGAAGUUCACCCCUGACAUUUUCCCCAAGCCUUCAAAGCUGUGAACACAAUAAGAAAUGGUACUAGCAGACAGACCCCUUUGACUCAGGCUCAAUUUAUGUCUCUUUCAAAGGGUUUGAGAGCUGGAUUAUUAAAAUGCAAUGUUUAAGAACUAGUCCCUAGACAAUAAAGGUCUCUUCUAAGUAUCGUUGUAUGUUUCUGGUUCAAUUGGUGUUUGGUUUAAUAAUAUUAAUACUUUUGCUUUGAAAUAGAUUUCUAUGUUGUCUGAACUUGCAAGUGUGUGUGUCAACGCCUUUAUUUCCUACAAGUAAAAGUCAACAAAAUUCAUGCAUGGAAGAGUAAUUUGCUAGACUCAUUUCAAGGAGUCUGUUGGUGUAAGAAAAACAAAACCAAAAUGGUUUGUAGAAAAGAAAAAGGUUUUCACUUGUGAGACAGAGCAAGCUUCUUGAAUUUAAGAAACAAUCUGUGAUAGCUUUGUGUUUGCUUCCUCUGACUCUUGUGCCUGCUUGCUUAGCUCGUAGUAAUCUUCUACAGAGAUUAUGAUGCUUCUUGGUGAAUUGUUAAUCUCAUCAAAAUCUCUGAGAACAUUCAGUCCCUUGCAAAGCUUUAAUAGCAGCCAAGGUCAACUUCUCUGAAGCUCUAUCAGCUUUCAUCUCCAUUUUCGCCUCCAUUAACCUAUUCUCUAUUAUAGACAUUCCGGUUUUCGCUUGUUCGGCCAAGUCUUUCGCCAUUCUAAACGUUCCAUCCUCUGCUUCUUUUUGUUGCCUGCUCCAACUUCUUGGCUGUUUCCACCAUAUCCUCUCUUGCUGCUUCAUCUGUUGUCCGGACCAAACUUGUCCUUUCCCUCUGCUUUGUUUCUGCUAGAUCUUGUCUCUCUCUUACAAGCGCAGACUGUAAUGAUCCAGUGAUUACCUUCAAUGUUUUUACAUCCACUGCUGCUUUCUCUGUUCACAGUAUCAACAGCUGCAUGUAUUUCCUUACUAGAGCUUGAUGUUAGGAGUUUUUAAAGCUCCUAAAACAAAUGAUGUAUUAUAAAAGAUUGUCGAACCAGUUCUGAGGGAUAUCAAAGCACCGAAAAUACAAGUACUAACUUAAUCUAAGUGCAACCAAUGAUUUAGAUGAUUUUAAACUACUACUAAUACUAGAUAGCAAUAACAGAAUGAUACUUUCUUGACUAAGGGAAAAGAGAACUCAUGGGCAUAGGGAUUAGACCUUGUGUGAUCAAGUUUCGAACUAAAGAUGGCAAAUGAUCAAUCAAACUAUCGACCUUAAGCCUAAACACAAUUCUAAACAAGCUCUAUAUCUAGAUGAAUGCUCAUUUGCUAACAUAUCUCAAACAUCAAAUGUCUUUGGUUGAAUAAUAUGAAAGCAAUCAUUACUAACAAGUCUAUUAGCUAUCUUAGCACCUUUAAGAACAAAUGUUUUUGGCAAAGUAUACUAAAAGCCUAUGAGAGUUGUCUCAGGCAUUUCAUCAAACACCUUUUGGGUGGGAAAUGCCUAUUGAUCAACUUUUGAGUGGCCAACUCAGAAGAUGCAUUAUGAAUACUCUACUAGCAAGGAACAAGAAUGAUCUACACUAAAACAUCCUAGAACUAACCUAAUCACCCUUAAUCUCCCUAACCCAUGAAUUCAAAAGGUGAUUACUCACUAAUCUCCAUGAUUCCUCUUAAACCCAUAUUGGAUUUCAGAUUAAUCAUGUAGAGGAAUAGAUAAGAAAUCAACAAGAACACAAGAUGAAAGCAAUGAAAUCUGAAUCAAAAGAAGUUUUCUAGUUGUUUUCUAGAAAAGAGAUUCUCUGCCUCCAAUGGCUUACAAAAGUACUUAACUUAGGUUUAGGCAAUGUAAAACAACAAAACAAAUGACCAAAAGGCCCCUGAAAUAACAUAAAAAUCGUCCAAGCAAAACACGCGGAGCGACCUAGCAUAGCCGCUCCAGGAGGUCGCUCCCGACGCGUUUCUUCGUGUCUCGCCCUGUUAAAACGCGAGCGACUUGAGCUGGUCGCUCUGGCUGGAGCGACUUGAGAUAGUCGCUCUGGGCUGGUCGCUCUGGCUGGGAGCGACCUUGGUAGGUCGCUCUGAGAGGUCGCUCCAGGAUGCUCGAACAUGGUGGAUAUGCCUUUAGUAAAUUGGUCAUAACUCCUUCAUUACAUCUUCAAAUGACUAGAAACCACUUCCAUUAGAAAGCUAACUCAAUUUUCUGUGUCCACAAAAUCUUAGCAACAGAAGAUUUCUCUAAAGGCUCCAUCCAUGCUCAUCUUUCACCCCCUUUUGGAUCACAAUGCUCCCAAACAUCUCAAAUCACUCCAUGGCACACUCCAACACCUAAUAAGGACAAUGAAUGCAAAAUGCAACCUAGACAUGGCUAAAUCCUAAUCUAUAUGAUGAAAAUGCUCAUGGAUGAAUGGAUAAAACAAUGAAAAUAUACAAGACAUCAACUCCCCCAAACUUGCUCUUUACUUGUCCUCAAGUGAUCAAUUCAAAUUCAUGGAAGAGAGACAAAUAGCAUAACCUCACUCUUUAGUCUACUCUAGCUUCUCAAAGCCUAGUGAAACUCAUACCUCUACACAAGUUGCCGGAUCAUCAAUUAACAAGCGCCUUAACCAGCUCUCACAUUAAAUUAAGCCCAAUGCAAACAAGUGAAUUCUUGCAAAUGGAUAAUUGAUCCUAGUCAUUUGGCUUGGUGAACAAGGGUUGGUUUCAUGAGAAUGAAAGAAGGGUUUCCAAAGCAUUUUUUCUAGCUAUCACUCAAAAACAGGAACAUGAUCAUUAUGCAAAAUCUAUCUAAGAAAAAAAACAACUGAUGAAUACAUAGAUUGGUUCUCAUCCUUCUACCAUUUUCUAAGUGACAUCAAACUCCACAAACCCCCUUUUUCACCCGAUAAACAUUCUUGCUCUCUCUCUUUUUCUUUUUCUUUUAACCACUAGGGACUCAAUAUCUUUCUCAACACUUAGCUCUAACAUUUCCUUAUUCACUCUCUUUAUUUUUUUUUUAUUUUUUUUUCUUCUUUUUUUUUUCUUACAACACUUUUCUUAUCUAGAGCUUUCUCUCAUUAACCUCUCUUGUCCCUAGGGUCUUUCUAUCUUUUGACUUCUCUUUAGUCAUCUUUUCCUCUCUUUUUUUUCACUUCCCAAACCCAAGAUAAAAGAACUUAGAGUACACAAACUCACCCACCAUCCUAGAUGCUAGCUCAAAUGACGUUCCUAUUGCAAGCCAAAGAUGAGAACAAACCUAUGUCGCUCCCAAUACUCUCAAGAUUUUGCACAGGACAAGCUAUCAAGAAGAGGCCUCACUCGAGCAAAUCAAUGUUGGUCUCAAAUAAUGGUAAGGGUUUAAGGGUGUGGAGUGCCAUUUGGGUUAACAAAAAGGUAAUGAAUGGAAUAAGAUAACCCAAAUGUGUAUGAGAUCCAUGACUAAGUAUGCAAAUGCCCAUAUGCAAGAGAGAUUAGAUUCAUUAAGUUCAGGUUCAUUUGGAGCUGGUUUCAAGGCUAUAUAAAUCUCACACAGCACAACAAGUUUCGAGCGGAGCUUUCAAGGCACAAAGCAUACAAGUUUUCCAAGAGAAGUUUAAGCUAUAAGGCAAUCCCAAUCAUUGUUCCAAAUGCAACAUGAAUGCAAUCCUAGAUGCUGUAGACUCAAUCCUAAGGAUGCAAAUGAUGUAACUACAUGCUUGCUUUUGGUUUUUUUUUUCUAUGCAAAUAUGUAUGUAUAAUGCAAUGCAUGAGACUCAAAAUCAUCAAAGCAAACAUGAUCAAAUACUUGGUACCUCCCCCACACUUAAAUCACACAGUCUCUGUGUGAGUGAGAGAGAGAUACCCAAAAGACAACUAAAAUGCAAAAUAUAAACUGGUAUAUACAAGGGAGUGUGGUGGGUUACCUUCUAUGGGGAAUGAGUAGAGGGAGAUGCUCCCUCCUCGUCGUCCUCAGGUGGUAACUCUUCAAGGUGCUCAUCAGCAGGAGUGUCCAUCUCUUCAAUGUAGAAGGCUUGCCCGAACACAGUUGGUUUCCUCAUUUUCUCCUUGAUGUCAAAGUGGAGGAUGUUCUCUUUACCCAAAUGGAGAUCAAUCUUGUCUUCCUUCACAUUAACAAUAGCUCCUGCUGUAGAUAAGAAUGGCCUUCCUAGAAUCAAUGGGUCUUGAGCCUCCUCACCCAUCUCAAGCACCACAAAAUCUGUAGGUAUCUCAUACCUUCCAAUCUUCACAGGGAGGUCCUCUAAGAUGCCCACAGGGUACUUCACUGAACGAUCAGCUAACACCAGAGAGAGUCUACACUUCUUGUACUGAGUGAAUCCAAGCUUCUUUGCAACAGACAAAGGCAUCAAGCUGACACUAGCUCCCAAAUCGCAGAGACAUUUCUCAAAUACCAUAGGUCCAAGAGCACAAGGUAGUGUGAAGCAUCCUGGAUCCUCUAACUUCUCUGGAACAUCAAGCCUCUGGAUGAUGGCACUGCACUCAUGGGUAAGAAUCAUCAUGCCUUCCAUCUCCUUCUUCUUUGCAGCUACAACAUCUUUCAGGAACUUGCUGUAUUGAGGAAUCAACAUGAAAGCAUCGAUGAUGGGCAUUGCAACCUGAGCUUCACUCAUUUGCUUCUCAAACAGAGCCUUGUACUUCUCUAGCAGCUGCUUCUUGAAUCUACCAGGGAAUGGAAGUUUGGGUUCAUAGGGGGGAGGAACAGAAGAAUUCUCACUUGCUGGAACAGCAGCUUCACCAUCUUGUAUUGUUUUCUUCUCUUCUCCAACCUUUCCUUUACCUUUAGCUUCCAUAAUCUUCUCCAAAAUCUCAUCAUUGGUCUUCUCAUCAACAAUUACCACAUCAUCAUCUAAGUUGAUGGCCACCUGCUCACCUAGUUUUCCAGCAUCCUUGGUGAGGGUUCUAGGAGGUAACUGCUUACCACUCCUAAAGGUGAUAGAUUUGGCCUCCUUGGGGUUUUGGUCAGAUUUUCCAGGUAGAGAUCCUUGCUGGCGGUUCUGGUGAGUGUUCAUGGAAGCAAACUGAUUCUCUAAAUUCUUGACUGUAGAAGCAAGAUGUGAGAAUUUGUUGUUGAGCUCAUUGUAGCUCCCAUCAAUCUUGGAAUGAAGGUUCUUCAACUCAUAACCAACAUGCUUCUCACUUCUAGUCUGAGACUCCAAGAUUUGUUUCAGUAAGGUAUCAGUGCUGCUCUCUUGAGGAGCAGAGGAACCAGACGAGGGGUUUUGCUGAGGCUGAUAGCUGCCUUGCUGGUUGUUUCUAGGCGGAUAACCACUCUGUUGGUUGUUGGGAUAGGAUUUCUGUUGGUAGUUGUUGUACUGAAAGUUGGGCUCUUUUUUGUACCAGCUACCAUUGUUGUUGAUGAAACACAGCUCUUCCUGACCUUCCAAACCCUCAACCUCAUGGACAACAGGUGGAUCUUCCUGCUUGGAGUUACCAACAAACUUCAGCUGCUCUUGGGUGGCUUUUUCAGCAAUGAGUAGGUCGAUCUUGUCUUCCAAAGCUUUGAUCUCUUUCCUCGUCUGCUUAUCAUCACCCCUACUGCCUCUGUCGUGGUCUGCACUGUAGACUGCAUCACUCUUCACCAUGUUGUCAACCAGCUCUUCUGCAUCAUCUUCAGUUCUUCCCAAGAAGAACCCAUUGCUAGUUGUAUCCAAUCUGGCUCUGUACUUAGGAAGGGCACCUCUGUAGAAGGUACUGAGCAAGCUCUCCUUAGAGAAACCAUGAUGUGGGCAUUUGGUUUGAUAGCCUUUGAAUCUCUCCCAGGCUUCACUGAAUCCUUCCAAGUUCUUUUGUUGGAAUCUGGAGAUCUCAUUUCUCAGCUUAGCAGUUCUUGAGGAUGAGAAGAAUUUCUCCAAGAAUGCUCUCUUGCACUCAUCCCAAAUAGUGAUGGAUUCACUGGGUACAGUCUUCUCCCACUGGCGUGCCUUAUCCCCCAAAGAGAAAGGGAAUAGCUUGAGCUUGAAUGCGUCUUCGAACACUCCAUUGGUUUUUGACAAUCCGCAGUAGCUGUCAAACAUGUCCAAGUGAUCAAAAGGAUCCUCUACAGGCAAGCCAUGAUACUUGUUGUUCUCGAUCACGUUGAGGAGUCCUGGUUUGACCUCAAAGUUGUUGGCUUCCACUGGUGGAGCGCGGAUACCUAACCUCUGACCAUUGAUGUUUGGACGAUCAUAGGUAUCAAUGGCCCGAACUAGUCGCGGUUGGUGUUGUGGCUGUUGUGGUUGUUGUUGUGGGGGAACCCCUUCUGGUAACUCAGCCAUAUCAAUAUUCAACCUCGGUAAUUGAGCUUGUUGCUCUUCUUGUCUUCUUUUUCUUGAUAUCUCUCUUUCAAAAGCUCUGAUGUCUGCAACUCUUGAAACUAGGUUUGUUGUGCCUCUGCUCCUCAAGUUCAUACACCUGAAAUCCAAAGAGAAAGGAAGAUAUAGAAUCAGUGACAGGAAAAAAAAGAAGAAAAAAUGACUUAGUCUCAAGCAAGUAACUAAAUCUCAAUGUUUAAAUCUACUCAGAAUUUGGCAACGGCGCCAAUUUGAUGUUAAGAGUUUUCAAGGCUCCUAAGACAAAUAAUGUAGUAUAAAAGAUUGUCGAACCAGUUCUGAGGGAUAUCAAAGCACCGAGAAUGCAAGUACUAACUUAAUCUAAGUGCAACCAAUGAUUUAGAUGAUUUUAAACUACUACUAAUACUAGAAAGCAAUAACAGAAUAAUACUUUCUUGACUAAGGUAAAAGAUAACUCAUGGGCACUAGGGAUUAGACAUUGGGUGAUCAAGUUUCGAACUAAGGAUGGCAAAUGAUCAAUCAAACUAUCGACCUUAAGCCUAGACACAAUUCUAAACAAGCUCUAUGUCUAGAUGAAUGCUCAUUUGCUAACAUAUCUCAAACAUCAAAUGUCUUUGGUUGAAUAAUAUGAAAGCAAUCAUUACUAACAAGUCUAUUAGCUAUCUUAGCACCUUUAACAACAAAUGUCUUUGGCAAAGUAUACUAAAAGCCUAGGAGAGUUGUCUCAGGCAUUUCAUCAAACACCUUUUGGGUGGGAAAUGUCUAUUGAUCAACUUUUGAGUGGCCAACUCAGAAGAUGCAUUAUAAAUACUCUACUAGCAAGGAACAAGAAUGAUCUACACUAAAACAACCUAGAACUAACCUAAUCACCCUUAAUCUCUCUAACCCAUGAAUUGAAAAGGUGAUUACUCACUAAUCUCCAUGAUUCCUCUUAAACCCAUAUUGGAUUUCAGAUUAAUCAUGUAGAGAAAAAUAUAAGAAAUCAACAAGAACAUAAGAUGAAAGCAAUCUGAAUCUCAAGAAGUUUUACUAGUUGUUCUCCACAAAAGAGAUCCUCCGCUUUCCAUGGCUUACAAAAGUACUUAACUUUGGUUUAGGCAAUGUAAAACAACAAAACAAAUGACCAAAAGACCCCUGAAAUAACAUAAAAAUCGUCCAAGCAAAACACGCGGAGCGACCUAGCAUAGCCGCUCCAGGAGGUCGCUACCGACGCAUUUCUUCGUGUCUCGUCCCGUCAAAACGCGAGCGACUUGAGCUGGUCACUCUGGGCUGGUCGCUCUGGCUGAAGCGACUUGAGAUAGUCGCUCUGGGCUGGUCGCUCUGGCUUGGAGCGACCUUGGUAGGUCGCUCUGGCUUGGAGCGACCUUGGUAGGUCGCUCCAGGAUGCUCGAACAGGGUGGAUAUGCCCCUAGUAAAUUGGUCAUAACUCAUUCAUUACAUCUUCAAAUGACUUGAAACCACUUCCGUUAGAAAGCUAACUCAAUUUGUUGUGUCUCCACAAAAUCUUAGCAACAGAAGAUUUCUCUAAAGGCUCCAUCCAUGCUUAUCUUUCAACCCCUUUUGGAUCACAAUGCUCCCAAACAUCUCAAAUCACUUCAUGGCACACUCCAACACCUAAUAAGGACAAUGAAUGCAAAAUCCAACCUAGACAUGGCUAAAUCCUAAUCUAGAUGAUGAAAAUGCUCAUGGAUGAAUGGAUAAAACAAUGAAAAUAUGCAAGACAUCAGAGCUUCCAUAACAGCAACUUCAGUUUCCUGAAGGCAUGAGGAAUGAGUAGUCUGUAACUGAGAAGUAUAUUUCAUGGUUCAUUGUCCCAACAAGAUAUAAGAGAAGUCGUUUGGCCGCAGUCCAAUUGUACGUCGUGGGUCUGUCAUAGACUAAAAGAGCUUAUUGACGGUGUAGGAAAUGUAUGGACAAGUUAGUAAUAAGUAUUGUAAGCUUCCUGCAAAGGCUCAGUAUUCUGUAGGAUUGCCAAUGGAGUGAAAAGAAUCUUGAUUAGGCAUGUCGGCUUGCGAUUGGCUUUGUAUUUGUCAUGUGUGUCCGCUCUUAUAGAAUCUGCAAUGUAACGAAUAAAUGUAAUCCAUGACUUAUAUGAGUCACUUCAAUGCCAAGAAAAUAUGACAAGUCGCCUAAAUCUUUUAGUCAAAAACAUUGAGAAAGGGUGUCGACAAACCGGUUUAUGUGGGUUUCCUGUGAUGAUGAUAUCGUCUACGUAAAACAACAGUGCAUAAGAGUAUGUUGUCUUUGUUGUAGAUACAGAUGUAUCUGCGAGAGAGUUUGUUAACCCCACUAUGAGCUAGAAUGUGUAGAGCUCAUUGUAUCACGCCCAUGGAACUUUUGUAAGUCUAUAAAUGGUCCUCCGAAGCUUACCAAACUGUUGUUAGAUUGUCGGUGUAAAUGAAUCUGAUACGCUUGGUCAUGCCUGGUCAAAGGAGGAAGUGAGAUAAUGCUGACGUGGAGUUUGAGAGAGGCAAAGACUCUGACUGGAAUGAAUGAAGGAUUUGCUGUUAGAAGAAGCUGAAGCUUUAAAUACCAGUAAGACGUUGAGGUUGAUUACAGAGUAUAUAGGUAUCAAUCUUAACAGAAUCAUGGCGGUUGAGCCACGUAGACCUCAUCCGGUAAAUGGCCUUGCAUGAAUGCCGUUGGGACAUCUAACUGUCUCAUAGACCAUUGUGUGGCGAUACUAAAUACAGGGUCGGGCCUGAAAAAUAUUGGUCCACAAGCAAAAAGAUAUUUUUGGCCCUUUUGUUUCUAAAAACAGUAAAAAUAUUAAAAGUUGUGGCUGAGAAGACUUGAACUCGGGUUCCCACAAAUAUAACAAUGUUACCAAUAGAGCUACAUGCUUUUUAUGAUUAUACUUGGUCCCUAAAAUAUAUAUAUUUUCGUCAGACCCCAAGCACAUGCUUGAAGGGCUUCUAUUCAGGCCCGGCCCUGACUAAAUACAAUGUGUAUGGUAGCAAACUCGACAAGAUGGCUUAAUGUGUCUUGGUAAUCAGUCCCUGGUACUCGAGUGUAAUCUGUGGUGACCGAACGAGUCUUGUAUUAUUCGAUAGAAGCAUUCGCUCUGUGUGUGAUGAUAAAAAUCCAGCGGCAACCUAUAACAUUGAAUCUUUAAAAAAAAAACUACAACAUUGAAAGAACGAGAAAUGUUAGUGAGAUUCCAAGCGUGAUUUUUAAUUCGAAAAUUAAUCUCUUCAGUCAUGGCUUUUCGCCAAUAAGGUGAUUUGAGUGUUUGAACAACGGUAAAUUGUUAGAAGACUUAAAAGACGAAGUUUUGAAAUGCAACUUAUGCAUCUUAUUAAUAGGGUAAACAAAACAUGACAAUGACAAUUUAUCAGAGGUCCCCGGUUUGAGUGACCGGUGGGAUGAAACUAAUAUUACAUGUUGUGGUUUUAAACUGGGAGAGAUUAGGGUUUAGGCCGAACCUCUUGGUAAUUCAAAAAAUAAAAAUAAAAUAAAAUAAUAUGCAUUCGCUUGAAAACUCUUUGAAGCUAGACUCCAUGGCGGUACGAAGCAUGGAGGAACCAAGAGAGUUAUCAGGGUGCUGUCUAGGACGGAGAGUCGGAAUGAUGGACUGUACGGAUCAUGGCGCAGGGCCGCAGGCCAUAACAAGUCAAGAUCGAAACAUUUCAGCAACACUAGUUUAAAAAAAAAAGAACAUUUCGCAAUACAUGUAAGGUAAACUAAAAAACUUGCUAAACACUAUUUGAAUGUAUAUGAAAAUACUUAAAAGUAUCAAGAUUAAUAAAAAAAAAAUCUCUGUGAAAAUUAUCCAAACUCUCCAUAAUCUAAAGUAUCAAAAUUACUGAGUUACUAUGCCAGAAAUUAAUGAGAUUAGUUAACUUUACGUACUAAGUUAUAUGAACUAGUCCAAGUGUCAACAUUGAUAUGUUUAAAACAUGAAAACAUUUAUAAUAUAGCAAUUGAAUAAAAUUAAACCAAAAAACUAAGUUUUCUUUUUCUUGUUGGUAAAAAAAAGAACUACUAAAGUUUGAUUGAUAUAGUCUAUACUAAUAAAGUAGUAAAUAAUGUUAACAUUAUACUGUAGGAAAUCAUAUUAAAAACAUAUCAAAAACUUUUUUUAAUUUAAUGCUUCAUAUUAAAACAAUAGAAAUUGAUAUUUGGUGAUUUUUAAAAAUAUUGAUAAGUAUUUUUUUAAUAUUCAAAGCGUAGACGAAAAUUGAAAACGAGAAAAGGUGGAUCACGAGGAAACGACGAAAUAAAGCCCUUUUGCCCCGUCAAACUCUUCUUCCUUUAGCCAUUUUCUUCUUUCCUCAUUUGAAUUUCGUUUCUUUCUCCGCAAGACGAUGAUGGUUGAUCAUCCAUCCACUCUCCAAUCGAAUUGACUUUAAUCGAAUCUGGGGCCAAAUGAACGCCGUGGGUAGGAUCGGGAGCUACAUCUACCGAGGCGUAGGCACGGUCUCAGGUCCGUUCCACCCCUUCGGCGGCGCGAUCGACAUCAUCGUCGUCCAGCAGCCCGACGGCUCCUUCAAAUCCUCCCCCUGGUACGUCCGAUUCGGCAAAUUCCAAGGGGCUUUGAAGAACAAGCGCAACCUCAUCAAGAUCGACGUCAAUGGCCUCGAUUCGCCUUUCAACAUGUACUUGGCCCACACAGGCCAAGCCUAUUUCCUCCGAGAAUCCGAUGACGUCAUCGGAGACUCCGAGACCGCCGAGGUUUACAAUUUAUCUUCCGGCGACGAAGGUGAUGGUGAUGACGGUGAUGGUGAUGAUGAUGAUAAGGUUAAGUUGCCGUUGAAGUCUAAGAGCUGUAACUAUGAUUGUCCUAGUAAGCCUGGGAUUCUAGGGUUUGUGUUUGGUGGUAGAUCGGUUAGGGAGAGCAAGGUGGAGGAUGGUGUUGUUGGAAGCGAGGAGAAGAUGGUGGAUAGUGAUUUGAUAUUGGAGACUCCUCUUGUUGCCUCUCCUACGUUGCGGUAUUUGGAUGAGAAAGAGCAGGACUUUCGUGAGAGUAACAAUGUGGAUGAUUAUUGUGAAGAGAAUGCUAUUCUUGUUGAUAAUGGUUCUACUAGUACUGUGUUCUCUAUUGCUAGUGAAGGUAGUGGGGAAGUAGAUGUCUGUGUGGAAUCAAAUGAGCCGCUAGCACAGGUUAGUCCUUUAUUGAAUCUCGUUUUGUUGGUUAUGGUGUGAAUGGGACUGAUGUCAUUGUAUGGAUUGUAUCUGCAUUAGGAUUCUAAGAAAGAAAUGUUAAGUGUUCCUGAAUCUGUGGAGAGUGUAGCUGCUGACCAAGUUGAUUUAUGGAGCAUUGGCACUUCUCAAGAAGGGAGCAGUACUGGCUCUCUUGUUCAAGAUGAGAGUAAAACCACUACGGGAGAUGAUUUUGAGAAGUCUCAGUCAACAAGCGUCCUGCAACCGGAGAUGAAAGAGGAACAAUUUUCAUUUAGCGAUCUUGACGAUUGUAAACCUGCUGAGAGUAGUUCUGGAGGGUCGAAUUCUCCUCAUACAGUAAAAGUUGAUGGGAAAGAGGACUCAAAGGUCUUGUCAGAGGCGGUUGACAUAGAGAGGAAAAAUGAUGUCUCUGGAGAAGAGGUUGACCGGUUGGUUGAAUCAUUACCGAUUAUGCGGCUUCACGACAAUGAUGAUAUGGAUGCCAGUCCUUGUCAGCCUAUGAGCCAGUCAUUUGACCCAUGUUCCAAUACUUCCAAGUGGGAUUUGAGAGAAGAUGAGUCGUCCUCGAGAGGUUUAGAUGCAGAAAGCGUUGCUGAGAGUAGCCCAAACUUUAAGGCGUUCACACAUGUUAUCGCUAAUCCUGAUGUGGGUAAGGGAAUAUUACUUACUUUACUUUUAUAAACUCCUUAGAUAUGAUGUGGGAUGCUAUAGUCUUUAACGUUUGCUCCAUUCUCAGUCGAGCUCUCUUUCUGCAAGCACUUAUUACGUGAAGGAAUGGGAGCAGAAGCGGCUUCUCAAGCCUUCAAGUCAGAAAAACUGGAUAUGGAAACCUUUGCUUCUUUGGGCCCAUCAGUGUUGGAGAAUGAUAAGCUAAUAUUGAAGAUUGGUGGCUGCUAUUUUCCAUGGGAAGCAGCAGCUCCUAUUAUCUUAGGAGUGGUUUCAUUUGGGACUGCCCAAGUAUAUGAGCCUAAGGGGAUGAUAGCUGUUGACCAGAAUGAGAAACCUGGUGAUGCAUCAACUCCGGAGGGGGGAAGCUGGAAUCUUUGGCCUUUCUCUUCGAGAAAAUCAAAGAACGAUACUGAAGUCUCUUCUAAAGACGCUGGUGAACCUGAGGAGAAACAACAAGAGAAGCCGCUGCCAAGACCAGUUAAAAAGAUGGUCAGGGCAUUAGCUCCAACUUCUGAACAAUUGGCUUCUCUAGACCUGAAAGAAGGGAUGAAUACUGUGAAUUUCACUUUCUCCACCAAUAUUGUGGGUAUUUUAUCCUUUUUACUACGACAUGUAACUAUGAAGAGUUCCCACUUGGUGUUCACAAACUCAUUAAUUUGACAGGUAGACGCGAGGAUUUACUUAUGGAAAUGGAAUGCUCGGAUAGUUAUCUCAGAUGUAGAUGGUACCAUCACAAGGUAGAGGAUUCACCUUUGGUUUUCUAUUAUGUUUCUAGUUCUUUUCCUAAUUUUCUCUAUGUUUGAUAGAUCGGAUGUCUUAGGCCAGUUUAUGCCUUUGGUUGGAAUAGAUUGGUCGCAAACAGGUGUUACACACUUGUUUUCUGCUGUUAAGGUAUGUUCUAUGUGCUUUUCUGGUUCUUACUGUUACAAAUGGAAGCAAAAGAUUCAUUUUCUCUGCCUUAACAUUUCCACAGGAAAACGGAUAUCAGUUGAUGUUUUUAAGUGCACGAGCGAUUUCUCAGGCCUCAAUCACAAGACAGUUUCUAGUUAAUCUCAAGCAGGUAAAACCAAACAAAAAACGCAUUCAUAAAAAUCGAGAAUCUAGCCAACUUUGUUAAUCAUAAAGCUAGCAAAUGCCAGGAUGGGAAAGCAUUGCCGGAUGGGCCUGUUGUUAUAUCUCCUGAUGGCGUCUUUCCUUCUUUGUAUCGUGAAGGUAGAAUCUGUUUACUCCUCAGAUUAUCAAAAAACAUUGAGUUUCUCAUGAUUUGUUUCUUUCUCUACAGUAAUUAGAAGAGCACCUCAUGAAUUCAAGAUUUCUUGCUUGGCGGUUAGUUAGUUUUGUGCGGUUUCUAUCUCUUGAAACUCUUUAUGUCCUGAGAACUGCUAUAUAACUGUUUUUUUUUACUCUUUUGAACAGGAGAUACGAGCGUUGUUUCCUCCUGAACACAACCCAUUCUAUGCUGGUUUUGGAAACAGAAAUACGGAUGAGAUAAGCUACCAAGACCAGUUAAAAAGAUGGUCAGGGCAUUAGCUCCAACUUCUGAACAAUUGGCUUCUCUAGACCUGAAAGAAGGGAUGAAUACUGUGAAUUUCACUUUCUCCACCAAUAUUGUGGGUAUUUUAUCCUUUUUACUACGACAUGUAACUAUGAAGAGUUCCCACUUGGUGUUCACAAACUCAUUAAUUUGACAGGUAGACGCGAGGAUUUACUUAUGGAAAUGGAAUGCUCGGAUAGUUAUCUCAGAUGUAGAUGGUACCAUCACAAGGUAGAGGAUUCACCUUUGGUUUUCUAUUAUGUUUCUAGUUCUUUUCCUAAUUUUCUCUAUGUUUGAUAGAUCGGAUGUCUUAGGCCAGUUUAUGCCUUUGGUUGGAAUAGAUUGGUCGCAAACAGGUGUUACACACUUGUUUUCUGCUGUUAAGGUAUGUUCUAUGUGCUUUUCUGGUUCUUACUGUAACAAAUGGAAGCAAAAGAUUCAUUUUCUCUGCCUUAACAUUUCCACAGGAAAACGGAUAUCAGUUGAUGUUUUUAAGUGCACGAGCGAUUUCUCAGGCCUCAAUCACAAGACAGUUUCUAGUUAAUCUCAAGCAGGUAAAACCAAACAAAAAACGCAUUCAUAAAAAUCGAGAAUCUAGCCAACUUUGUUAAUCAUAAAGCUAGCAAAUGCCAGGAUGGGAAAGCAUUGCCGGAUGGGCCUGUUGUUAUAUCUCCUGAUGGCGUCUUUCCUUCUUUGUAUCGUGAAGGUAAAAUCUGUUUACUCCUCAGAUUAUCAAAAAACAUUGAGUUUCUCAUGAUUUGUUUCUUUCUCUACAGUAAUUAGAAGAGCACCUCAUGAAUUCAAGAUUUCUUGCUUGGCGGUUAGUUAGUUUUGUGCGGUUUCUAUCUCUUGAAACUCUUUAUGUCCUGAGAACUGCUAUAUAACUGUUUUUUUUUACUCUUUUGAACAGGAGAUACGAGCGUUGUUUCCUCCUGAACACAACCCAUUCUAUGCUGGUUUUGGAAACAGAAAUACGGAUGAGAUAAGCUACCUUGAAGUCGGAAUCCCCCGGGGAAAGAUCUUCACUAUUAACCCCAAGGUACCCAUCCUUAAAAUCUUAAACACAUUACUUAGCAACGUUUUGUGGAACAAGUUAUGCCUUAGGUCUCCAUCUCUCUAUUGCUUGUUUGCGUUAGUUUUGUCUUUCAAAUUAAACAAUGACUUCAAAGUGUUUUGCUCAACUUACAGUCUGUAAGUUUGCGUUUGGCGUUUUCAUUUAGGCUUUGUAGACGUAUUGUGUAGGAAACACUGAAAAUGUAAACGCAAACGCGUAAAUUGGCACUGAAACAAUUGUAAUCUUGCAGGGGCAAGUAGCUGUGAAUCGUAGGGUGGAUACAAGGUCAUACACAAAUCUUCAUGCUCUUGUCAAUGGAAUGUUCCCAGCUACAACAACCUCCUCAGAACGGGUAUACUAUAUAUUUCUAUGUUUUGUUUUCUUCUCCAAUGUUUUACUUGCGGAUUUUUGAUAGAACUUUUACAAACAGGAGGACUUUAACACAUGGAAUUUCUGGAAACUGCCUCCUCCAUCGUUUAUGUGAUGAUGAUGAUGAGGAUUGUGUUGAAGAAAAUAGAGAUUAGCUGAUAGAGAUAACAAAUGGUGGCCCAUUAUUGAUCAUAUCCAUCUUCUUUUAAAGGACACGGUAAUUUUGGUUCUUUGCUUUUUUGUCACACUGGUUUCAUAUCACAGGUUUACGAUGUAUGCGCAGUUAUACUUGUAUAUAAAUAUAUUUAAUAUGUAGACAGUGUUAUUGGAAACAUUUUGAAAUUUAGAAGAACAAUAAAUAUACAUUUACACAAAUCUUACAUAUCAUUAGAGUUUUCUGUCCAUGUAAAGUAUUCAUAUUAGCACAAUAAAAGAAAUUUGUUUCACAAAAGAAAAAAUCAUUACUAUCAACUUUUCUUUUCAUUUAAAUUCACUUAUCCAAAAAUAUUUUUAUUAAAUUAAACUAUAAAAUUUAACUAUUUAUUCAAAUAGGUUCAUUUAAUUAUUUUUCUUUUCUGAGAAAGAGUUAACAUAAUUAUUAGAAGCUUUAUGACAACAGUUUACAGUUAUAUAUUUCAUUAAAAUGAUAAAUACCAUAAGAUGCGUUACGCAAAGCAAACUAUAUGAUAUUGUAUACAUAAUUGAAAAUGUAAAUAAAAAUCAUUAAAUUAUAUAAAAUACUGGAUGUCAAAAAAAAUAUAUAUAUAUAAAAUACUGAUGUGAUCAGGUUUUAACUUUUAAUAAAAACCGCAGAGAUUGAAUCCACUAAUACCAAAGUUACACUACGGUUCUGCGAUACAGUAAGUUAGAACAAAAUGAAUGUUAUUAUGAUUUUCAAAUUACAAAACAAGUGAAGAACAAAAUGUAAAAAUUACUAAACAAUUGAAUUAAAAGCUUUAGAUAGUAGGAAAUUCUCAAGAAACAUGUCUAGUGUGCAACUAAGAACCAUUAUUGAACUCAAACAAGUUAACUAGAUCGAUCUUUUCCCAAAGUGAUAAACCUUAUGUAUAGGGCUAGGUAAAAUAUCCCAAAAUUUUGAUUCUCUUGGAGUAGUUUGUAACUUAUGCAAUAUCAGUAAAAAACGAAGCAAAUCACAAAUAUUAUACUUUUAGAAAGAGAUAUCAGAUCAAAUAUGUUAUAUACAUAUAUUUAAAAAUUUAUAUAUUAUUUUAUGAAAGUUUUACAAUAUUUUAUUUAUUAAAUUAUUUAUUUUAGUUAUUAAAGUUUGAAAAGGUAAAUAAUUUUUAUUUUAUUUUGCAAUAAAAUAUUAUUAUUUUUUAUCAUUUUGGAUUUUUAUUUUACGAUUGAAUCAGAUAUCCAGUUUAAAAAUAUAAAAUUUUCCGGAUACACGGACACCGAAUAUCCAGAAAAUUAUGGAUCAAAUCGAAUCAAAUAAUUAACUAUUCAGACAAAAUGGAUUGGAUUACGAAUACUUCCCAAAAAUCCAUUUGUACUCACCCCUACUUAUAUAAUAGAAUCCUGUAGAUUAACUUCUAUUGAGUUUCAAAUUCUAAACAUGCAAAAUCAAGCUUUAUAAGUUCACAAAACUCCUAGCAGUUAACUCAUGUCGACUAGGAUAAUCAUGGUCAUCUAAGUUUUUUAACGUGUUUAGCUAAUCAAUUUCAAUGGAUUUAACAUUCUAGAUUCUAGAUAUCAUGAACAAGGUGUAUAGUCAAGUUCAAGGUUUAAAAUUAAUUUAAAUAAAUAAAAAAAACUAAACAUAAAUUUUCCUAAUCUGAGAUAUCAAUUUCAAUAAUCCAUGAGUCCUUCAAACAACCCCUAGCAUGUAAAAUUAGAUAUGGAAAUAGAAACACAGAAAACCACUGAUUAGUACACGCCAAGUUCCAUGUGCAUUCAUUAUUGAUUCCUUUCAAAAUCUAACUAGUUCAUUUUUCAGUGUCAUUUUGUUACUAUUUAGAUCCAAAUUUUACUUUUACGAAAAAAAAAAAUUCCGUUAUUAUUUAAAAUACUGCUUCCAAAUUUAAAUAAAUUGACUUAUCUUUUCCCCAAAAUUUAAUUUCUUUACUUCAACAUAAAAACUGACGGCUUAUCCAUCAUUACAAAAAAAUCCGAUCCAAUCUGAUAAAUUAAAAGAAAUGAUAAGUAGUAGAAGAAAGCAAUUCAGAUUAUCCAUGUUUUGGUUCGCUUGAAGUGGUCCGAACGAACCACAGGGAAAAUAUAUCAAAGUAUCAAACUCUUGUGCAAGUGUUCACGAUAAAAACAAAAUUAAUAGGUCACUUGAUAUUAAUUAACAAUCGCAAUAAUUAUCUUAGUGGCCCCCGCCUCCACUCAAUGACUGACUAACCAACCAUUCAGUACAUAAUACGCACAUAACUCACCCCUUUCGUCAUCACCUUCCAUUUCCUGAAUCUCAAGAUGCACACCAAUGCAGCAGACUCCGAGGUAACAAGCCUCUCUGCUUCCUCGCCCACUAGAUCUCCCCGUCGACCAGCCUACUUCGUGCAAUCUCCUCCGCGUGACUCGCACGAUGGAGAGAAAACCGCAACAUCGUUCCACUCAACCCCCGUUCUCAGCCCGAUGGGAUCUCCUCCGCACUCUCACUCCUCCUCUAGCCGCUUCUCCAAGAUCAACGGCUCCAAGCGCAAGCAACAUGCUGGAGACAGGAAGUUCGCAAGGAUUGAAGAGGAAGGUCUGCUCCAUGAUGGUGACAGAGAAGAAAAAGGUUUGCCUCGUCGUUGCUAUGUCUUAGCCUUCGUUGUUGGAUUCUCCUUGCUCUUCGCUUUCUUCUCUUUGAUCCUUUAUGCAGCUGCUAAGCCUCAGAAGCCUAAGAUCUUAGUCAAGGUUAGUGAAUCUCAGAUUAAUCUUAUAUUCAUUUAAAUAACUCAGAUCGGAUCCUAGAUCCAGAACCGGACUGUGUGGUUUAAUAUGUGAAUCGAAUUGCAGAGUAUAACAUUUGAGCAACUUAAGGUCCAAGCUGGACAAGAUGCGGGAGGUAUAGGAACCGACAUGAUCACGAUGAACGCGACACUGAGAAUGAUGUACCGUAACACAGGCACAUUCUUUGGUGUUCAUGUUACUUCUUCUCCGAUCGAUCUGAGUUUCUCUCAGAUCACAAUUGGUUCUGGAACUGUAAGUCCAAAAAAUCUUUUAAAUUUUUGUUUAACAUUUGUCUGAAUUCAUGUUCAUUAAUGUUAACUGUUGCUAUCAUCAGAUGAUUUUAGAAGCUAUUGCUUUUUGGUUUCUUCCGUUUUGAAAAAUUGACUAAACAAACUUUUGUCCGGUUCAAGCUGGAAAUAUUCGGUUCGGUUUUUAGUUUUUAGUUUGUCUUUGAUCAAUAUUGUCGGUUGAUAAUUGCUAGUAUCACAUGCAUUGGUCAGGAAAUGCACAUUCGUUUUUUAUAAUAUUUUAUUAUCGAGACAACUAUCUAAAAUAACCAAAAAAUACCAAGAAUAGCUAAAAUACCAAAACUAAAUUUUAUUCAGUCCAUUUGGGUUUGGCUUUUGAUAAAUAUAAAGUUCGUUUGUUACUUUUUGACUUUUUUUUUAAUUAUAAUUGUAGAUUAAAAAAUUCUACCAAUCGAGGAAAAGCCAAAGAACGGUGAUAGUGAAUAUGAUUGGAGACAAGACUCCUCUCUACGGAAGUGGUUCUACCUUAGUCCCACCACCACCUCCUGCACCAAUUCCAAUCAAGAGCAAGAAGAAGAAAGGACCCAUCGUGAUCGUCGAACCACCAGCACCUCCUGCUCCCGUGCCGAUGAGGUUAAACUUCACCGUUCGAUCUCAUGCUUACGUUUUGGGGAAAUUAGUUCACCCCAAGUUCUACAAGAGAAUCGUGUGUUUGAUUAACUUCGAACACAAGAAACUCAAUAAACAUAUUGCACUCACGAACAACUGCACCGUCACUUCUGUUUGAAGAUAAAAGCCAACUCUUGCAAGUCCAAGAAUCGUAUUGGGCACGUGCCAAAUUAUUGUCGGUGGGUUUAAUAUGUACUUUAAUUUAUGUGAGUGGACAACGAUCAAUGGAGAAUAUUUUUGUCAAUGAUACACUGAAUGGGAAGAUUCACAUUUUUAAUUUAUUCUUUUCUUGAAUGCGAAAUAUCGAUCUCAUUUUCUUAUACUAUAUAAAAUAAUUAUUGUGGUAAGGUAUAUUAUGUCAAAAUCUGAAUUUUCGUUUAUUUUAACAAAUUAAAUGCUUUGAUUAAUAUUACAUCUUCACAUUUAGACUUUUCACUUUUUCGUUUUAGUUCAAGUGUGAAUUUGCUAACUAACCAAGUUCACAACAACCAUGAAGAAUAUACCAUCACAAGUUGAGAAAUGAAAUCAAUAGCUAAAAAACAAUGUUUUUGAUUUUCCAAAUAUAAACAAAAUAAUGUUGUACUAUGUGUCAAUUGUUUUUAUUUAUUUAUAUAUUUAUAGAUACAUAAUAGUAUGCUACUAGAUGAUAAUCCGCACCCUGUGCGGGAUGAAAAGAUUUAAAGAAAUUAUCACUUUGAAUCAAUAGGUAUUAGAAAGUUAAUAGUUUUAGAAAGAAAUAUUAUCUAAUAAGAGAUUCAACGAAAUUGUGUAUCUCUAUUAUAAAUUAAGUUUGGAUUUAAAAAAAAAUUGUCUAUUUGUUUUGUUUAAUUGAAGUAUAUUUUGUGGAAAUGAAUCCUAAGAGUAAGCAAAGAACUUAUAUAAAAUAAAUUAUCUUCAUGCUAAGAAUUGUGUAUGUUAAAGAUAAAACGAAACAAAGGCAAUAAAUUAUUGUUUUCAUACACUAAAUUAUAAAUAUAAAAUAAAACGAAACAUAAGCAAUAUAAUAAUAAAAUAUGAAAGAAACAAAAUAUAAUAUAGGAGACUACUUUACGGAUGAGGAGAUGUAACUAUACAUGCUUAUAUUUAUAUAUGCAAGACGCGGACGGAGAUAAAUUAUAGCUAUUUGCCAUAAUUAUUUCCGUAAAAUUUCCGUAAAAUUUCCGUAAAAUUUCCGUAAAAUUAACGUAAAAUCAAUUAAAAUUGUUGUCCAAGGCAAAAUAUUUACAUCCCUUUUAUAUUCAAAAUAUUGAAUUUCGAAAAUUUACUUUGAUUGUUGCUGUGCGAAUUUAUUGGAAUAGUAUAGGAAACGAACUGAGAUUCUAGUCAACUAAAUUAAAUUCAAAAUUAGUUGCCUUUUUAUAUUUCCUUAACAUACGAAUAUUUUUUGUUGUCUUUUUCACUCCACAUCUGCAUUAUUGAGUCGCGCCUUCCUUUUUUACCUUCUGUAUGUUACCACUAAUAGACCUGUGUCAUAAAUUCCUGUUGUUCUCGGCAAUUCGGAUUGUAAUGCAUAUGUCACAAAUCCGAUCGAGAUCUAAAUAAAUCAUAUUGUAUAAUGUAUAUGUCCAAUGGCAUUUGGUUGUAAUUAUUCUAGGUCACAAAGGGUUAUUUUAAAAAGCUAGUGAGAGUGCAUUAGGUGAUGACACAUAGGAAAUGGCACUCAUGUAAUAAACACAUGAGGCCAAGGUUUAUUUCUACGAAUGUUCCUCCUUUAAUAAGAAAGAGAUAAGAUGAUAGAUGUUAAAUGAAAUUAAAUUACGCUGAGUAAUGAAUGAAAGUUAUAUGUAGAAAGAAUUUAUUGUUGAUCAAUGUUUUUUGAAGCUAUUGAAUACAUGUUAAGUUUUUAAAAUCUGACUUUUUGAAAUAGUAUAAAAUUUGUAAAAAAGAAUACAAAAAAUUAUGAUAGAAUUCAUAAGGAGAAAAUUAUAAGAUUGUUGAUAAAAUGUAAACAUGGAAUCAAUGAUAAUAUGUUCUAUAUAUCUCUACUAUAUAAAAGAAGCUAUUUUUGGAGCUUCUAAGAGUGCCAUGUCGGCUAAAAUAUUCCCGAACAAUCAAGUUUACAUGUCAGUCUCUUCCCAUACUUCUUUUCAGCUAUACCCAUUAUACAUUACGACGGCCCACAAUAUAUUUCAUAUUUUGUUAGAGCCCAAUUAACAAUACAUCUUCAAAGCUCCUUAAUUAAUCAUCCAGACAAAACUUAGAGCACCUCUCCGCAUCCUCUCUCUCUCUCAAUCGACAAUAGCUAUGUCUCUUCAAAUUACCUUCAUUACUCACACAUCCCCCUCUUCAAAAAAAAAUAUCUCCAUAAAAAUAAGAAUCCGAACAGAACGGAAACAACCUCACGAAUAAGCUUCCUGUAACAAGAACACAAAAAAAAAAUCAAGGGCUGAAUCAAGAGCUUUCAUCAUGGCCGAAAGAGAAAGAGAUUGAAAGACAUAGAGGGGGUUGAAUCCAGAGAGGUUGAAUCGUAACAGAGGUUGAUUUGAGUCAAGCUCUGUAUGUAGAUCUUAUGAAUUAUCACGACUGAAAGGUUGAAUCGAAGAAAGAGAUGAUUGUUGCAAGCGUGACGGUGGUGGUCACGACUCCGGUGAAGACUGAGACAGACCAAGACGGAUCUGAGAAGCGAUGGUGGUGGAGGUGGUGACAAGCUAUGGCGGAUGGGAGAGAUGGCGAUCAUGGUGGUGGUGACGAGCGACGAUGUUACCGUCACUGCAACUCCGACAGAAGCUCCUUCGUGGCUUCGUCUUCUCCUCCACUAAUACUCUUCAAUCUCAAUUUGAGAACCCAAAUCACGUUAGCAACACCAACACAUACGUGAACAAAAAAAAAACCAAAUAUUUUGGUGCCAAAUGUGUUUUUUUCACCAAGUAUUUGGCGCUCAUAAGUGUUAGAGGGAUAAAAAUUAGAUUUUUGACUGCUCGCUUCAUAAAAAUCCUACAAAAUACUGUAUAGCAUUGAUUUAGCGCUACAAUAGAAUGAGACAUCCCAGCUAGCCACUUUUAGUAGCAGUUUGUGAAUUCAUGCUACCGUGAUAUGCUAUCAAUACCUACAUUUCUUGCAGUGUACAUAAUAAAUUAUCUUAUUAUCGUUAGGUUUUGUUUACAUCAAAAAAUGUAAAUGGUUUGUUUACUUUACACUUGGUGUUCUGCAUAAAUAUAAAUGAGCACCUUAUGACAGUCAUUGUACAACAGUGAUUAUAUAUUUUCCAGUCUCAAGUCUUAAUUGAUGUGAUUCAAAUCCGACUUUGGUCUGAGUUUGUCAUUUAGUUGACCUAUGUUGUGGGAGCCUAUAUUUUUUUUUUAUGUAUUGUAGGUACCAAACACAAGGGACAUAUUUAAGCUCACAAGCGGGUAAUCGACCUCUUCAGCUCUUUGGAAGUAAUGAAGCAGAUCACUUCAUCACUAUUGAGCCUGGUAUUGAGGAAAAGUUCAACAAAAAUGUUUCUUAGUACAUGUGGUUUAGUUUACAAAUUGUCUUUGAAUUUCUACGACUUUGUCUUCACUUCCCAAAUCAAUAAAUGGGUCUUCACUUCCUAGAUGAUUGACCAAAUAAAAUAAAACUAUAAGAACCCAAAGAUUAACAUUAAAAACAGGUUUGAGUUGAACUUAUUUAUUGUAAUAUUAAAAGAACUAAUUUCCUUGAUUUUAAAGAAUUCCACGAGCAUAUAAAAAUAAUAUAGUAAAGAUAAUUAUUAUGUCAAAUUUAUUGUUAAGAUUUGCUACAAAUAAAACUCUCAGUAGCACUCAAAGUUUAAACAAUAAAAUAGUUCAUAUUACUAUGACACACUCGAGAACAAUUUAUAUUACCUAAGAAUGAUUCCUUAUAGUAUCCAAACAAGAUAUCUCAUUUAAAUUUAUACUAAUCUAUUUACUCUUUUUUCUUUUGUUAUUACAGAAACUUUUCUUUGUAACAACACUAAAAACUUCCUUCUACUUUAACACCAACAACAUUGACAUCAUACAAAGCUUUAUGUGGAGAAAAAAACUAAACUCCCAUACACGAAGUCAUCGCUCUACUUUAGAUCUUACAACAACGAAAUGAUGAGGACCUCAAGUCAGUAGCUGGACCACCAGCUCAUGAGAUCAACCAUACAAGCUACACUGGAGCCAACAGCGACAUAGGUGCAUUCAAAGAAGGAUAUCUCUGUGACCAUGAAGAGUUUAACUGUGAAACCAGUUGCUAUAGAUUCUCAACUCAACCAGAGCACGCCGCAAAUUGGUUUCAUACCAAAAGGAGUAAUGGUUUAUGAGAUAUGUCAUUUAUAAGUCAGGCUAUCUAUACUUCAUCCAAAUUGAUUCUUUUUAAGGAAAGUAAUUCUGCAACUCAAACUCACGUGCAGAAACCAAGAGAUCAUUCAUUACAUAGAAGACCACUUGGAGAUUUGUUGGUAUUCAAACAACAAAAUUUGGUUGCAACAGAACUUUUUAAUCAAUUAUCCGCGCGUAGCGCGGACGACUACCUAGUUAUCAUAAUGAUUGCUUUUAAAAAUUCAGAUCAUGUUAUAUGUUUUGAAUAUUUUUGGGUAUUUAGUUUUAGUUAUUUAAAGUAUUUUCAGAAUGUGGAAGCACCACAACCUACUGGUUAAGGUUUAAAGGUUUCUACACCCAGGUCUGGGGUUCGAAUCCAAGACUAUGCAAUUUCUUGCAGAAUACAGAAAAUCCAGAUUUCAAGUUCCGGAGAGAGCGAUUUAUUAAACAAUUAUGCAGACUACACGAAAGAAAGGCUUACAAGUUAUCUUCAACAUGGUGCAAGUAAAUCUGGUCAGGCGUGAAUUUUCAUAGAACGGUUCAGGUGAUACAGUUAAGCAUAGGUCUUCAUUAGACAGAUAGUAUUGUCGGUUGUCGAAUCGUCUAUGUAAUCUUUCUCAUAUCAUAAUUGUAAUAUCCUAAUAAAUCAGCGUUAAAAAAAUAUAUUUUUUCAAAAUUAUCUGAAUGUUUUUGAAUAUUAAAUUUUAAAAUAAUUAAUAUAUAUAAAUAUAUAAUUGUGAUUGGAGUAUUCUGGUUUUGUUGGUUCAUAUUUGGUUUUCAAGUACUAAAAUAUUUGGCUCGUUUGGUUAUUUUGCCAGUUUUACUUCGGAUUUAGUACAAUUUUUUUGUGGGUUGGGUUCGAUUUGGUUCUCGGAUCUGGGUAAUCUACCCGGCCUAAAAGAAGCUAAACCGGGGUCUAAUUUAACGAACUUCCACAAUAGCGAGGAUCAAUAAAGAAAACUAAAUAUUGUUAUUUUACCCCAAAAGAAAACUGUAUUUACAAAUCAACCCCUUAUUAAUAAUACCUCAUAGUCUUUUAGGGCCGCCCUCACUCCGGGCUCACGCGAGUCGCCACACAAAUAAACCUAAACCCUAGAUCCCGAUCGGUAACCGCAAGCUCCUCGUCGGCGAGGCCUUUCACGAAGACCGCUUAAUCCUCUCCGUUACUCUUCAGGUAACUAAUUAAACGGAUCUGUUAUAAAUAAAAUAGUCACGAUUCUCGUUCGAACCAUAUAGAUUUCGUUUAUCUCUCGCUGAUCCUCGGAUCUAAGCUUAGAAUCUUUUGUUCAAAUUCUUCAUUGAAUCUCAAACCGUUAGAUGAUUUUGAUUUAUAUAUUCAGGUGACGAUUCGAACCCAUGGCGGAGCAUUUAGCUUCAAUCUUCGGCACGGAAAAGGACAGAGUAAACUGCCCUUUCUACUUCAAGAUCGGCGCGUGCCGUCACGGAGACCGUUGCUCCCGUCUCCACAACCGCCCCACCAUCUCCCCCACCCUCCUCCUCUCCAACAUGUACCAGAGACCCGACAUGAUCACCCCCGGCGUGGACCCUCAGGGGCAGCCCUUAGACCCGAGCAAGAUCCAGGCCCACUUCGAGGAUUUCUACGAGGACAUAUUCGAGGAGCUCGACAAGUUCGGCGAGAUGGAGUCUCUCAAUGUCUGCGACAAUCUCGCUGACCACAUGAUUGGCAAUGUCUACGUCCUCUUCAAGGAGGAGGACCAGGCCGCCGCCGCCCUCAAGGCUCUGCAGGGGAGGUUCUAUUCGGGGCGUCCCAUCAUUGCUGAUUUCUCUCCCGUGACGGAUUUUAGGGAGGCUACUUGCAGGCAGUACGAGGAGGAUAACUGUAACCGCGGCGGGUACUGUAACUUUAUGCACGUGAAGCAGAUUUCGAGGGAGCUUAGGAGGAAGUUGUUUGGGAGGUAUCGGAGGUCGUACCGCCGUGGGAGCAGGAGUAGGAGCAGGAGCAGGAGUGUAAGCCCGAGGCGCAAGAGAGAGCGAGGGGAUGUUAGGGAGCGUGGUGAACGUGACCGUGACCGCCAUGGGAAUGGGAAAAGAAGCAGUGAUAGGUCGGAGAGGCAUGACAGGGAUGGUGGUGGUGGUGGGAGGAGGAGACAUGGUAGCCCGAGACGUCAUAUUCGAGGAGCUCGACAAGUUCGGCGAGAUGGAGUCUCUCAAUGUCUGCGACAAUCUCGCUGACCACAUGAUAGGCAAUGUCUACGUCCUCUUCAAGGAAGAGGACCAGGCCGCCGCCGCGCUGAAGGCUCUGCAAGGGAGGUUCUAUUCGGGGCGUCCCAUCAUUGCUGAUUUCUCCCCCGUGACGGAUUUUAGGGAGGCUACUUGCAGGCAGUAUGAGGAGGAUAACUGUAACCGCGGCGGGUAUUGUAACUUUAUGCACGUGAAGCAGAUUUCGAGGGAGCUUAGGAGGAAGUUGUUUGGGAGGUAUCGGAGGUCGUACCGCCGUGGGAGCAGGAGUAGGAGCAGGAGCAGGAGUGUAAGCCCGAGGCGCAAGAGAGAGCGAGGGGAUGUUAGGGAGCGUGGUGAACGUGACCGUGACCGCCAUGGGAAUGGGAAAAGAAGCAGUGAUAGGUCGGAGAGGCAUGACAGGGAUGGUGGUGGUGGUGGGAGGAGGAGACAUGGUAGCCCGAGACGGAGCAGGAGCCCUGUUGUUGUGAGAGAAGGUAGCGAGGAAAGGAGGGCGAGGAUUGAGCAAUGGAACAAAGAACGAGAUGAGGGAGUUUAAGGGUUUCUUUUUUCUUCUCUUCGUUGGCUGUGCUGAUUUGAUUGUCUCGUAAUGGAUAUUUAUGUGUUUUUUUUAAGAACUUGAGAGUGGCAUGAGACUGGCUUUCCUUAGAUAUAAAGUAAGGUGAACUGAACUACUUUUUUCUUGUUUAGAAACUAGUUCGUGUGAGAUGGAUCCUUUGGUAGUUUUGUUGUUGUUCUUCAUGGUUGUCCAUUUUAAGUUUAAAGUUCUCUUACAAGUUUUAACUUACUUUCUUGUCCGUAGAACUUUGUUGAUUGGAUUGAGAAAUUUUGUUUCUAGGUAGUUUCAUCAACUUUGAUGUUCCACUUCUCAUGUUUGUUUUGGAUAACAUGCUGCCAAGGAUUGCAUCAAUAACAGGCCUAACAUAGUGGUUUAGAGGUCAAAUAGUAGGUACCGUUUUGUUUGAUUUCAAUUUCAGUGUGAUCUUCCGCAACGACACCUUGAGGUACACUAAUAAUCAUGUCUACCAGUAAUAUACAACCUUGCGCAGAGAGUGAACUUGGUGUCAUCUAGGCUCAGCUUAAUCUAUUUGCAAAGAAAAUACUCAAACUCCUUGCAUAUAUCAACAAAGUUGUACAAGAUUUGGUCCUUAGAAUUAUCCAGAUUCAUUUCUGAGACUUUUGUACAGAUUUGUAAAACAACCCCGACUUAGAUUUUUGACUCUUUUCCAUAACGACGCGUUCUCCUAAUCAGUGAGAAGAGACGCGGGUUCGCUGAAAGUUGAACCAUACCUUGAGGCGCAAGAAGGGUAUUGUAAUUAGAGUCGCCAGGGCUGUGUCCACUGAACGAUAUCGCAUAUAUGUCUGCCGCCUUUUCCCUGGAGAAAUGGACACCGCGAAGCUGGUGGUGGGCGAUGAUGGUGCCAUAGUGAUCAAAGACGACGUCGACUCAAAGUGGAAGGAGGAACUGUCCAAACCUCUGAACCUGUCUGAAACUGAAAAGAAAGUGAUUCAAACGCUGCAUCUUCUUGCCCUUGGAAUGAUUACGCCGCCUACAAGGCCAAGCUGAGUCGAACCGGGAGACAGUGAGUCGGGUUUGUUUGUUUGUUAUGCACAGACUUCAUCUCCUUUCUUUCUUUUGUGUAUGUUUAAUCAUCUCCAAUCUUCUAUAACCUCAGUUAAUUUACUUAAUUGACUACAGAAUAUCAAACUAGUAUUGGUCAAAAGGGUUUAAUAAACCCAACAUUUGAUGCAAGUAUUUCACGAAAUGAACACUCACCUUUUGGGUUUUCGUUUUUUUUUUUAAUCUUUUAACAACAACAAAAUAAACAAACUCGUGGUGUUGAGACAAUCCAUACAUGACUUAGGUAACUGAACGUUUUGGAUUGCCGACUUGUUCAUCUCCAUUGUCAACCUUCUGCUUCCGAGUGUAGAAGCUAAUUAUCUUGUUAUCCAGUUUAUAGUAUGCCUCCAUUCUCUUCAAUGGUUUCAUGCUUAAAUCAAUGAAAUGUACCUACAAGAGAGAGAUCCACACCUUGUGUUUAAAUGAGAUACCACAAAACAAGAAUCUGUUAUAAAUAGAUCAUACCUUGUAAUCAAACGUCUGAUUGGUCGAUUUUAGACAGACGGCAUCACAAGAAGGUGCUGAAUCAUCCCAUUCAUUCCUCAAUCGAAAACUGAUCAUAAGACUACAGUCCUUAGCAGUUGCAGCAAUCAGAUAGUCCCUGACGAUCUUCAAGCUUUCAUCUAAAGGUAAACAAUGCAGAGACUCCUCUUCCUCCUCCAACGUUCCAGCUUCUUUACAUAUAGGACAAGGCUGGUUGAUUAUAUUGUAAUAACAAUGAAUCGCUCCUUCGAUGUCUAAUUUAUCCAGCUUCUGAACUUCCAGAAGCUUAUCGAGCACUCCUGAAUCAUACACAGUAUCAGAUACCAGCUGUAGAAAGCAUUUAGUCCUGAGACCAUCGUUUGAUUGAAUGAAGCCUCUGAGUGCUUCCUCAAAGGUCUGUGCAGUUUCAGGGCUGGUUCUUCCGGUGCUUUCGCCAGAACCGCCUAACACGAGAGAACCGUUCAAGAAGACGCGGAAGUUAUUCUGUGGGAUAGAGUAUAAGGCUUUUACAGCUUUGGAGACUCUAUCUUUGGAUCCUGAGAACAGAUCAAGAGGAUCAUAUUCACUUACUUCAGAUAUCUGCAGAAGAAGAGGUGACAUACUUGUAAGACCUUUUAUCAGCUAAGUUCCAUUAAGAUUGUUAAGCAGGGCCAGACCUGAGAUUUUGGGGGCUAUAAACAUUUUUAAAAUUUCUGGAGGCUAAGGCUAAUGUUUCACUAGCCUAUGCGUAGUUCCGACCCUGUUCUUUAAGGUACAAGUUAUGUGCUAUUUACCUCGUUUUGUUCCAACUUAAGGAUUUGGUGCAUUUUGAAACGGCUGACGCGUCUUUUGAGUUUGUUUUCUUCACUGAUGAACCUUGAGGUUGGAAGAAAUCCGCAUUUGGGCUACUUCAUGGAACCAAGGACAGUGAGUUUAGGUCCAAGGACCGUAAUGAAAACAAAAAUUACCAACGAAGAAUGUACCUUUAUUUCAACACUUAAGCAGUCACCACUAGAAAUCCCUGGCACAUAUAUAGUUUUAGAAUGAUUUAAUAAAUAUAGCCAUGGACUUAGCACAACUCAUAUAGUAGUUUCUGAUGAUACCUUGAGAGAAAAGUGAAUGAUCAUUCAAAAUAAGAGCAGAGUCAUGACUGGUAUCAACAUUAGCUGCAUUAACACGCCACGGGGGACGCUGCUUAGUAACUUUCUUAUCAACAGACUCAAGAAACUCCUUGGACACAGAAACACGCACCUGCACAAAUCACAAUACUCUCUUACUCAUCAAACAAAAACCCUGAUAAGGCAAAAAGAAAAGAUCUAAAGCUUACUCCGGGGUCUAUAUGUUUAGGACCCAAGAGUGGGAUGAUCACAUCUUUUACAUAUAUUUGUUCAACAACUUCCUUGUUUGGUGAUGAAACGAGCUCCUUGUUUUCCCUCCACAGAAGCUGUUCAUCGGUUGUUAAAACAGACGCAGCACCAUUCACAGCUUUGUUGGCUUUAUCAGUCUUGGGAGCCUUCUGGAUACGAAUCACUUUCCCCACCUAAAAGAUUGGUCCACUUUAAUCACAAUCCAAAUAUAAUAUUUAUCCGAUUAAAUCAAAAGUAAACAUUUUUAACUAGACCAAAGUGAGUAGUAGUCCAUGUAGACAUAUGAUUCUGAAUCUUUUUUUGACUCAAAUAGAAGAAAAUGGACAACACUAAAAAUAGAAUCUGAAGAAAAAUUCAAAAUUUGGUACGGUGGAAGAAGGAACUAACGAAGAGAGGAGAGGAGGCAGCGUAGGCGAGGACCAGAUUGGCACCUCCUUCGCCUCGGUAGAUCCAAUCGGAUGCAUCUUUCUCCUCCAGAAUCAUCUUUCAAAAAGGAAUCAGAACCAAGAGAUAGAUCGAUCAAAUCGAGGCUUCCCUUCUUCUGUGUUUGUGGAGGAGGACUACUACUACAUCAACUCUCUGUGGGGGCUCUCUCUCUCUCUCUCUUUCUUCGUCUUUAUUUGGGUUUGGGCAGAGUCAAAAUCGAAGCUGACCUGUUGUUGAGACAGAUAGUAGCGUAUAUGUUCCUGUUCUCUGUCUACGUGGAGAGGGCAAGCUCCACCUGUUUGUGUCGUCUUACUUUAUUCUUUCUCUUUUUUCGGGUUCUUCUUUCUUUUCUUUUCUUCUUUUUGUUCAAAUAACUUUUACAAAACUUUAUUAAUGUAUAAAAUUGGAUUGAUGACAUAUUCUCCAUAAGAAGUGUCAUGUCUCCUAAACUAUGUAUUCCCUAAUUAAAAAAAAAAAGAAGUUGAUUGCCCCUUUUUUCGGAGAAAGAAUGUGAAUGCCAUGGUGAUCAGCAUGAAUCGAAUCUAGGUGAUUUUUCGUAUUGCGACCGAAGCUCCCUCAAGUAAUCACCACUGAACUAGCGCACGCUGGUUUUGUAUUCACUAAUUAUAAAGUUUCAUCCUUAUUUUCCUACAGUAUUAAUGUUACAAGUUUAUUUCCUCGCAUAUAUAAACAUCGAAAUCGGUAGUAUUCCCACAUUCACGACUAAAAUUAUUGUAUUAAAGCAAAAUGUAAACUAAUUUCAACAAAGAAAUAAUUAGAUAAUACUUCUAUUUUAUUUACUUAUAAGUUUAAAAUUGUUCUGUAAUGUGUGUAUAUAUAUAUAUAUAUGGAAAAUAAUAUUUAUGUUGAAUACAAUAUAUUGUUACCUUGUUUAGAUAUAUGAUUCAGGUAUAUAUAAUAAUCUGAAUCGGUUAAUUUAUUCAUUUUUGGUGUAUUAAGUUGGACAUAUUGUUUCAAACUAAAACACAUUUUUUUUUGUCUUAGUUAGGUUAAAAAAAUAAAAAUAUGCAAGUGUCUGAAGAGAUUAUUAUAUUCAUGUGGAAAUCAUUCUGAAAAUACUGAUUAGUCGGUUCCUGAAGCCGGAUAACUAUCACAUCGAUCCAUCCUCCUUGCGUUCAUUUGAUAAAGAGGUAGCAAAACAAUAAUGACAACUGAGACCUUCCAUGUUGAAUAAGCCUUGCAAAUUAAACCAGCAAUCCUUUGCUUCAACAACCGCCCAGACAUAACCACUAAGAGCUAUAGAGAAAUACACCGUAUAUAGCAAGGCCAACAAAGAAGCGACCAUGAAAGGCAAAGGAGGAAGCUUGAAAAAAUGAGUUCAUGAUUAAAUCACCUGGGAAAGGACAGGGAGAAAAAACAGUUCACACCGGGAAAACCUAUCUCAAAAUCAUGACGGAAGGACCAAAAAAAUUAAGAAGAGGAGUAAGCGAGUGAGGAGAUAGACCAACCAAAAUAAAUUGAACAACACACAUCAAGUGCUAAAGAAAAUAUUAAACCGGUCGGGCGAACGCAUACAAAAGAUGAAACAAAUCCAAUAUGAACCAGAGAAAAGGGCCAGAUUAGUGACAAGUAUAUUAAAUGAUGUGCCACAUCCGACAAUUCAAGUGUUUUUGGACAAUAUAUAUGUAUAUGGAUAAACCUCUAUUUAUGAGAUAGUUUUUGGCUGUGAGUUAAGUCCAUUACUAAUAUGGUAUUAGAGUUCAUGGUGAGUCUAUCAUAUAAUUUUCCACAUAAACAGUUUCAUACCUAUAUAGCAUGUAUAAGUGGUUCAUAUUGCUGUGGUAUGUCUCAGAUGUUGGGCUUGGGCUGUUUCCACUGGACCGUUUUCUACCCACAUUUCGAGAAGAGGCUAUUAAAUGAUAUCCCACAUUGAAUAAUUCAAGUGUCCUUAGACAAUAUAUAUGUGUAUGGGUAAACUUUCACUCAUAAGUUAGUUUUUGGGUGUGAAUUAGGCCUAUCACUAAUAAAAUAAAACUCUGUGAGGUGCUUUCUCUCAUCAAAAACACUAGACAAACCGGAAAAUAACCUUAGAACCGACCAUAGUAACAAACCAUUGAGCAGAUCUAAUGUGUGAUCUCUAGAAGUGCAUGAAGGCCAUCUACAACAUUCGGUUAGACAAAUCUAGAAUCUCCAAUCUUAUAGAAGCAUAUACUGAGGGCCAUAUAGGAAAUAAGAAUUCUUCCACUCCGUUUAUAAAACACCACCGGAAACAUCGAUCAAACCACUCACUAUUGAUACGGAAACGACAAAUAAAGACAAAGAGGAAGAUUUCAGCUCCCCUGAUUGAAAAAUUCACUGGAGCUGGUUAAGAAAUGGAAGGAAGUCCCAAAUGGAAUAACGAAGGCUGAAGAAAGAUAGAAAGUGUUUGUGUCAUGUCAUGAUAUUUUAAAAUAGUUUUUUUAUUAAAUAAGAUAGCAUGUUACAUUUUAAAGAGAAUCAUACUAGUAAUUAUCUUGUUAGGCCAAAAAAAAAAAAUCAAUGUGCAAAGAAAAUCCCUAAUCGCCAAAUAUAUUAUAAUAAUAAAAAUUUUGAAAACAAUGAAAAGAAAAGUAGAUGGCAAUUCUUGUCGCUUUCUCACCAACCAAGCAACUUCGAGCCAACGCACAUUUCAUCCGCCGGUACAGUACAGCUACAUCCAAAAGUAAUAAAAUCAAAUCACACUUACCAGUUUGCCAAGUACCAAACAAUCAAGUCCUUAGCCAACUAACGUUCCACACGUGCUUUGCCGGUAGGUACUCACGUGACGGUAGCUUCUUAAUAGCAAUGUUCAGGCUGUGGUACGUCUAUAAAAUGUUUUCUUAUAGCACGAAGAUUUCCACCGAAGCUACAUAGUAAACUCUUUCUCAAAGCAUAAUCCAUCUUUCACACACAAAGAUGGUAGCUCACAAAGAGACCGUGUGCGUAACCGGCGCAUCAGGAUUCAUUGGUUCAUGGCUCGUGAUGCGGCUACUGGAACGUGGUUAUUUUGUCCGUGCCACUGUUCGCGAUCCUGGUACAUAUCUUACAAACUCGUUAAUUUCUCCUGAGAGUAUGUUAAUAAGUAACUUACGAGUGUUCUUGGCCUGUAAAGGAAAUUUGAAGAAAGUGCAACAUCUUCUUGAUUUGCCAAACGCGAAGACGCAACUCACUUUAUGGAAAGCCGAUUUAUCUGACGAAGGAAGCUACGAUGACGCCAUAAACGGAUGCGACGGCGUUUUCCACAUAGCAACUCCCAUGGAUUUUGAAUCUAAGGACCCCGAGGUGAGUUAUACUAUGAACCUUUUUUUAUUACAUAUCAAUCCUACAAGAUUUUGUUAAAUGAGUUUGUUUGAAUCAGAACGAAGUGAUAAAACCGACAGUGAAUGGAGUGUUGGGGAUAAUGAAAGCAUGUGAUAAGGCAAAGACCGUACGAAGAAUUGUGUUUACUUCGUCUGCUGGAACGGUUAAUGUUGAGGAACACCAGAAAAAUGUCUAUGAUGAAAACGAUUGGAGUGAUCUUGACUUUAUCAUGUCCAAGAAGAUGACAGGAUGGGUAUAUAUAUUAAGGAUCAUAUAUAAAAAAUUAACUUGAGGUUGAUCUUCUUCAAAGUUAUUUAUGUUUUUGAUAAAUUGUUGGCAGAUGUAUUUCAUGUCGAAAACGUUAGCCGAGAAAGCAGCUUGGGAUUACGCGAAGGAAAAAGGAAUAGAUUUCAUUAGUAUUAUCCCGACAUUGGUGAUCGGUCCAUUUAUAACAACAUCUAUGCCGCCUAGCCUUAUUACCGCGCUCUCUCCUAUCACUCGUGAGUGAGCCUACUUUCUUAUCCCUCUUUUUUUUUAACUAAGAGGUUAAUUUUAAACUGUAAAAAUGUUUUAGGUAACGAGGCACAUUACUCCAUCAUAAGACAAGGACAGUAUGUCCACUUGGACGAUUUAUGCAAUGCCCAUAUAUUCUUGUACGAACAAGCUGCUGCCAAGGGACGUUAUGUUUGUUCCUCUCACGAUGCAACGAUUCUUACUAUCUCCGAGUUUCUCAGGCAAAAAUAUCCAGAAUAUAACGUGCCUUCAACGUAAGAUUUUUAUCAAUACCGGUUUAAGCUUGUUUUGCAUAUUCAGUUAAUUUUUUUUUUCUGAAUAUGAACUCUUUGGAACAGGUUUGAAGGAGUGGAUGAGAAUCUAAAGAGCAUUAUGUUCAGUUCCAAGAAGCUGAUUGAUAUGGGAUUUAACUUCAAGUAUAGUCUCGAGGAUAUGUUGGUGGAAUCGAUUGAGACAUGUCGUCAAAAGGGUUUUCUCCCUGUCACUUUACCGGAACAUUUGAAAUCUGAGGACAAAGUUCCGGGCAGUGAUGAUAAUAAGGAGAUUAAAAACGGAUCUGCAGGUUUAACUGAUGGUAUGGUAGCUUGUAAGAAGACCGAACCAGGGAUGGCCGGCGAGAAAGCCGAUAGUCACAUGUCGGCACAGCAGAUCUGUGCUUAGAAAUUGAACCCGUAUCUAAUAUGGAUCUAUUGUCUUAUGAAUGUGUGAUUUGUUUUUUUUUUCUUUUUAAGUUUGUAUGAAAGUGUUGUGGACUUAUUUAUGGUAUAUGAUAUCAUGUGUGAGUGUGAAAAAUUAUGAAUCAAUAUUAUUAAAUUAAACCGUAAUACGUAUGGCAGCGUAAGAUUAUGAAUCCGAAUACAUAUGGAUGCAUGAUACAGUCUUACGGAAGUACAGGGUGUAAUCAGGCUAUAUAACGAAAAAAUUAUACCUGAACAAGAAAACAAACAUGAGGUUCUAUGGACCAGACACUAGACCAUUUAUAACUUUUACUUGGAAGCUACAGUGUUCUCGGAAAUUGAAAUAUUUUGUUUUACAAGCAAUAUAUGGGAGUUUAUAUUUCAUUAAGGAUUUACGGUCACGUGGAAUUCAAUGUGAUAUGCUAUGGAAUAUAUAUUUGGAGCGGAGAAAGAAUCAAUUAAUCAUGUCUUAUUUGAACUCAAACCAGUGAUUCAAACUUUGACUACAUCUACUGAGAGUAUGUUAAUAAGUAACUUACGAGUGUUCUUGGCCUGUAAAGGAAAUUUGAAGAAAGUGCAACAUCUUCUUGAUUUGCCAAACGCGAAGACGCAACUCACUUUAUGGAAAGCCGAUUUAUCUGACGAAGGAAGCUACGAUGACGCCAUAAACGGAUGCGACGGCGUUUUCCACAUAGCAACUCCCAUGGAUUUUGAAUCUAAGGACCCCGAGGUGAGUUAUACUAUGAACCUUUUUUUAUUACAUAUCAAUCCUACAAGAUUUUGUUAAAUGAGUUUGUUUGAAUCAGAACGAAGUGAUAAAACCGACAGUGAAUGGAGUGUUGGGGAUAAUGAAAGCAUGUGAUAAGGCAAAGACCGUACGAAGAAUUGUGUUUACUUCGUCUGCUGGAACGGUUAAUGUUGAGGAACACCAGAAAAAUGUCUAUGAUGAAAA
rnacentral:lncRNA from 1 species